GCCUAGUAUUGUCUCUCCCUGUUUGAUUCUUAGCAUAGCAAUUGGCUAAUAAUUGUGCAAAGGGCACACUGGUCACCGGGUCAAGUGUGGCAUGCACGGUGGCAGUGCCACCUGCUGAUUGACAGGCAGGGUCCAGGAGUCACAUGUUGUUGGCUUGUUACCACCCGAGGUGUCGGAACCUUGCCUCCUUUGUUCGCCUAUGGGCAGCAGGUUUGUGGGCACCAACUGUAGCCUAAUCUGUUUUCCUUUCUCUUUUUGGUAGGCACAUAGACCUUGGUGACAGAAGACAAAGAUCCCAUUGGCCCUUCCAGCUGCCCUGGCCACCAACCCCUCCUUCACAGGGGGUCCUGCAACUCCCAGGUGGUGCGUGUUGGAAUGGACUUCAGACCCCAGCCUCUUGGGAUGCAAAGGUAGCUGCUCUUGGUUCCCAAGGUGCCCCUGGGAAGAGUGGGCCUGCCAGUUUGGGGGUUGCGCCUUAGGAUGGGAAAUGCGUAGGCCCUAGGCCACCCUUUCUCAGUGGGUUCCAGCCUGGGUGGUGGUGGCUUAUGCAGCACAGGUGAAAGUGGAAAGAACAUGAGGGUGAGGAGAGGGCCCUGGUCUAGGAGCCGGGCACCUGCAACUUAGUCUGGGCUUUGCCAGCAGCUCACUGCCAGCUCCCCCUGAAUCUCCAUUUUCUUACCUGGAACAUAGCAAGUUGGAGUAACUGACCCUAAAGAGUCCUCCCAGUGGUCCUGUGGGUGACACUGGAUGGUAUGGCGUGGGCGGGCCAGGGUGUCAGGUGAGGCCUCCGCCUGUCAGAUAGCCAUCCUGGAUCUAGGCAUCGGGUCAUCUCUGAACUUCAUCUCAGGGACCUUUCUGUAUGGGCAGAGGCUUCUCUGAGCUCUGGGCUCAGCCUGGGGAGACCCACUGGGGCUCUCUUGGGUGGCUCCAGCCAGGCCUCCUUGGGGACUAGUAGGAGCCCUGAAUACAACCCAGGGAUUGCAAAUCAGAUGCAAACGUGGGCUUUGGUUGCUGGGGUGGAGCGACAUGUGGCUGAGACUCUUCUUCCUGGCAUCCAGGAUGUGAUCGGGCUCCAGGAAUCGGUCCAUCUGUACCUAAGGUGUGCUGCUGUUGUCCUGUUGUCACCUGAAAAAGGCCACGUGGGGGGAUUGGUGGCUGCGAGGUCUUGCUUGCAUUCGGUGCCAGCAUCUGUACCUCUGCCUCUCCCGGAGCUCUUCCUGCCAUCUCUGCCCUCUCUGAUGAUGAGUGUUGGGAAGGCGGGAGCCUCAGGUUGGCUCCCAGCCCGCCCUGCGCCCUGCUCCAGAGGCUGCCCGAGUGCCCCUCUGAGGGGACAGGUUCGCCUCUUCUCUUCUUGGUGGCAGGCUUUUUGUUUUCUUCUUUCUCUGGGCAAAACAUGCCCAUUAGUUUUUCCCUUUCUGAAGUUUCCACUCACUGUUGGCUCCCAGGGGCCGUGCCAGCUGGGAUUUGCACCCGGCACAGGGUAGGGGCCCAGCAGGUCCGGUGGGACUCCCACAUCCUGGCAUUGGCUGUCUUGGGCUUGAUAAUGAAGCUUGGGAACCCUGCGGGCUCCGAGAGGGAAUGUGGUCACCGAGUCCCGCCUCACUUACCCGUCCGUUUCCAGUGACGGGCUUGGCCACAGCCUGGGGUUCUCAUGGCAGGGUGACCCCUGGUCUCAGAGGCAUCCAGCCUGACCACAGCAUGGGCGAGGGAGCCAAGACUGGGCUCAGUCUGGUCCACAGGCCUGGCUUAGCGUCUCCCAAUUUCUGGCUAUUCUCUGCGAGAUCUGGUCACAUUUAUCCUACAGUCACAGAGGGUCUGGUGUCUGCCACUCUCUCCCCCAUAGACAAAGUGGACAAGAAACCCCUGCUCUCACCAAGUUCCUGUAGCAGAGGUGACAACCAGCACACCCACAAAACUGAACAAAGACUUGGUGCUGAAUGGAAUGUGCCCGGGGCACUUAAGGCAGGAUGCACAGAGGAGGCCUCUGAGGGGACAGCUGAGAUGAAGGACAGGAAGUGGACAGCCAUCUGAAGAGCAGGCAGGAGAAUAUUCCAGAAAGGGAGAACAGGUAGUUUAAAAGUCCUAAGGAGGGGCUGGGGAUGUGGCUCAAGCAGUAGCGCGCUCGCCUGGCAUGCGUGCGGCCCGGGUUCGAUCCUCAGCACCACAUACAAACAAAGAUGUUGUGUCCGCCGAAAACUAAAAAAUAAGUAUUAAAAAAAAAAUUCUCUCUCUCUCUCUCUCUCAAAAAAAAAAAAAGUCCUAAGGAGGGAGGAACUCACUACGUUCAGUGUCCAGGAGGAAAGGCCAAGUGGCCGGGAGGUAGAUAGGGCAGGGGCCUGGAUGUGUAGGGCGUAAAGUGUCAGGGGAGAAGGUGGGAUUUUAUUCUUGGGUGACAGGAUGUCCCCUAGAGGCACCUUAAGGAAGGAGGUAGUGAGAUGCUUUUUGUUUUUUAAAGACAGCCGGAAACCAGAUGCCCUGGCGCAUUCCUGUAAUCCCAGCCACUCAGGAGGCUGAGGCAGGAGGAUCUCAGGUUUGAGGCCAGCCUGGGCAACUUAUCAAGAAUAAAAUAAAAAGGGCUGUGGGUGUGGCUGGGUGGUAAAGGGCCUCUGGGUUCAGUCCCCAGUCCCCAGAAAAAAAGUGUGAGGGUGUCCUGGGAAGCAUGCAUCAGAAUGGCGGCAAGGGAAGAAACCAGGAGGCCAGGGGACGGGAGGAGUGAGGGGCCUGGAUGGAAGCUGUGUGCCCAGAGGCAGAGUUAGUGGAACUUACCAGUGGAUUGAAUGGGGUGAGGGAAGGAGGGGUCAGCACGCCUCCAGGGUUCUGAGCCCCUGGGGUGUGGCCUGCGUCUUCUUUCUGACAGUGCCAAGAGACCCAUGGCUCUUAGACAGUUAACACCUUGUGGGUUGGAGGAGGGGCGCCAUCUUGGAACCAAGCCGGUGGCCAAGCAAGUCCUGAAGGGCUUGGGUGCCCCUUGGUCCGCCUCCAGCAGCCAGCCUUGGAGCAGGCUGUGACUUCCAUGCUGGCGAUGCUUUCAGCCCUACGACUCUGCACGACACCAGCUUUGGGCUUUUGCUCCAGGGGUCCUGUGCUGGGUCUGAGGUUGGGCACAGACGUCCGUAGAGUUUCUCUCAGUGGGGCUUUACAUGUGGUCUGUCUUCUGAGCUCCUGAACCUUUUCCUUCGUGCUUGGUCAUAUAGACCCUCAGUUGAUCAGCUCUGAGGCUGAGAAAUGGGACUGUCUAAGACCUGGUCAUGUCCAUGGGACCCAUUUCAACUGCCUGCUCUUGCACAUCUGCAGAGAUCUUGGGGGUCUUUUAUUUAUUUAUUUUAGUUGUCGAUGGACACAAUAUUUUUCUUUCUUUAUUUUAUGUGGUGCUGAGACUUGAACCCAGUGCCUCACACAUGUUAGGUAAGCACCCUGCCACUGAGCUACAGCCCCGGCCCUCUUGGGGGGGUCUUUCCUCGUGGAAAGCUGUGCAUUUCCCUAGGUGGCCCAUCAGACUUGAACUCAGGCCCUGUGACUUUUUCUGGGGCCUCUGUCGUGGACUCCACUACCCCAGGUCCUGACAUCAUCUGCAAGGACCAGGCAGGAGGAGGCAAGCCCAGCCUGGUGCUGUGACAGUGAGGCAAUCCCCGACUCCCCCCACCCCCACAGGCUUUGUGCAGCCCUGGGCACUGCCAUGUAAUUCGGUAGCAAGCCAAAGGCCUGGCUGGCACAAGCGUGAAGCUGUCACCACCGGCUGCUGGGCCCCAUGUGCACUUGCCCGUGCUGGCAACACACCCCCAGCCAUAUGGGCCAGCUCGGCCCUCCAGGAAGCUCUGGAGGCCUGACCUCCAGGGGGCGUGACAGGAAGGGCAGGCCAGCUACGUUUCGCAGGGGGCAUCAGGGGUGUCCCGAGUGGGAAGCAAUAUGUGACACAGCAGCUCAGCCCUCCAGGAAGCUCUGGAGACCUGACCUCCAGGGAAGUAAUGGGAGGGAGCAGAAGGGCAAGCUGGUGGCGGCUGGCAGGGGGUGACAGGGAUGUCCCAGGCCCACAGCUGGUGCCUCAGCCUGGCUCGGAGGGGGCCGCCAGCCAGUCCUCCUGGGCGUGCCUGCUGGCCCUGGGGGAGGGUGCGUCUGUGCACACGUGGGAGGCUUUUCUGCUUUCUGCCUCCAUGGUCUGCACUAGAUCCAUGACCUUCACUCCUAACUGGACUGGACAGUUCUAAUGCCAUCCUCCGGGGCUUUGAUCUGAUGUGAGGCUGGCAGCUCCAGAGCACGCAGCUGCGGUGGGGGAAGCAGAGAGGUGGGUUCCGGAGAGGGAUGUGGGGCCAUGUUCUCCACCACCCUGGGUGACGCAGAGCUCAGGAGGAUGAGUGGGUUCCAGUGGUGCAGCCCCGUGAGGGGUUGUGACUGGGAGAAGGUUUGGAAAGAGCCACUGAUGGUUCUGGUUCUAAUCUGGGUAGGAAUUCUGUCUGAUGGCACAGGCGCCCCGCCCUUGGCCCUUCAGUUUUUCCUUAUAGAAUUGGAAGCCCCCGCUACCCCAGGCACUGACUCAGGGACGCGGGCUGGCAGGUCUGGCAGCACCUGCCCUGUGUAGAGCUCCUGGGGGUCUCAUCUGGUGCCAGGGUUGCUCGAGCAGAACAACGAUGGCUUUAGGAGCGCUGACACCUUAAGGACCAAGGGAGAUGCUCGGCCUCAGUCCCUGUGGCCUCUGGGUGCCUGCAGCAAAAAAAUACCAGUAACAGAGGAGCCCCGGAGGCUGGGCACGCGUCCCCUUCCCGUGUAGACCUGUGGGCUCCUGCUGUCCCACCAGCGUCCCCUUGGCCUCUUUCAUUCCAGAAUCUACAGAGAUACAGACCUGAUCCAGGUGAGAGUCCUUAAGUCAGAGGUCGCUGGACCAAGGCAUGAGCCACCAGUGGGACCCUUGAAGUCCAUCUCCCAGGUCCUUGAUGGUGACACACACUCACCCCCCACGCCAUUUGCUGCUUGUUCUCUGUCACAUGGGGCCUUGGAGUGAUCCUCACCUUCUGCUCCCCACCCAUGUUUUCUCUUGGGUUUGGUUGACUUCCCUCGGGAGCAGGAGGCUUGUCCGACCCUGAGCCUUGCUCUGCUAGUCUGGGGUUGAGACCGCUGUGGCCGGGGUGGGAGAGGAGAGGAGGUGUAAUUAAACACUAGUUCCUUUUCCAGAAAUGCUAAUCGAGAAAAGCAAUUAAAAGCAACUUUUUUUUUUUUCCCUUAGUAAUCUGGGUUAAGAGCUGGUAAUGAAGUUUAGGGCCAUUGUGACUCAGUAUUUCAGCUUCACCGACUCAAGUCAAAACAAUCCAAGCCCAGGAGCUCACCAGCCGCUGAGUUGGGCCCGGGAAGCAGCUGUGCGUCCUGAUGUUCCCGCUUGUCACCACCCUUUGCCGUUCCCCGGGGCAGAGAGGAGCAGUUGCAGCUGGGAAAGGGGAUCUGAAUGGCAUGUAGGUGGGUCCCCGAGGUGACCCCUCAGAAGACCAGAAUCUGGAAAUGCAGCUGAGCGGAAAUGCUUAGGAGCAGGGCACGUGUGGCACCUAGUGUAAGGGCCAGAACCAGAAAGGGUGGGUCAGAUAGGGUCAGGGGAGAGGAAGUGGUCCUGGGGUGGACAGGGCUCAGCCACAUGGGCUCAGAACCAGAGGAGCUGGUGGUCCAGUCCUGACCUCCAACCUCUGCUCGUUCACCUCUGGUUUCAUUCAUUAAUCAGUUGCCAUUGAGCACCACUGCAUACCCAUGUUUUAGACACUGAAAGUGCAACAGUACAUAGAGAGGUGAGGAUUCCCACCCUCGUGGAAUUUACAUGCUGGUGGGAGGCUUUGUCUGGCAGGUCCCGUAGUCCUUCCUUUCCUCUACAAGUAACCACUGCACAAUUUCUCUUUUAAUUUCGUCGAGGGCCCUUACCUUGCCCAUCCCACCCGUUCACCUACAACCACUAAAAUCUACACCGAAGACCCCCUUUCCCAGUGACUCCACCAUUGUAAUCCCGCCUCUGUUUUGUCUUCCCUCCGGCACCAGUGGGACCAACAAUAGACCUCCUUCUCACAAGAACAGGUCCCCUUGUCGUCGACGCUCCGGGGUCUCCGUCCUCCUGUCGUCCCUCCGGUCCCACCGACCCUUCCUCACUGGACCUCUAGUUCCGACCCCGUCCCCCCACGCCAGGUGUCUAGGAUGUUCGGACCGUCCGGUUCGUGAGAACUCUAGCUGUUACCCCGAGUAAAACGAGAUGCUUUUUGAAGAGCUCUGACUGACAUGAUCUGAUUAGGCACAAGCUCUUUAUUAAAAAACAAGACCCUAUUGUCACUGUCCCCUCCUCUCAUGGUCCCCUAUGUGCAGAGUCCGCCUCCCCCCCCCCACACACACCCCUUGGAGGCACUCUAGCAACAUUUCAAUCUGGGAUGGGCCAGAGGGUGCUGGGGGGUGUAUCUGGAACUCACUCAGCCCCAGCCUCAGCCUCUUCCCUGGGAGCAGUUCACCAUCAGGGUCUUGUCACUUUAAGCAGCCCCCCGCCUGGCUUCCCUGGCCUGCUUUAUCUGAAGUCCAAGCGCAUGUUGUUUCAGGACCGAUCCGCUUUAGCUAAUUAAUAAUCUGACAGGAGCCACCCAGGGGAUUAGCCUCGGAGCUGAGCUCCACCAAGCCCCAGCAAAUGAGCCCCAUGCUCCUCAGGGACCUGGAGGUGACUUUGGGGGGGGGGUUCAGGGAGGGGGGACCCCCACAGGUGAGCCAUGGCAUGGGGCAGUAUAGGAGUGGCCAGUGAGGGAAGAGGAAGGGGAGAGAUGGGAAAGGAGCCUCCUAGAGGACUCCACUGUCCCCAGACAGGCAAGGACUCUGCUCUCCUCUGCUGCCUCUUAUGGUCUUGUCACCUGCCAGAAACUGUCCCCACCUGAGGAGCUGGGAUACCAUGGCCAGCAUUAGCAAGUAUAAUGCAGGACACGGGUGUGGCCGAGCCUCAGGUGACCUGCACCCCAUCUUCAGCACGAGUACGUUCCGUGGGCUGUUGGCGAUCGGCUCCCACUAAAGGUGUCUUCGUUGUGUAUGAGACACUCUGCUUCCACGUUUCCUCUAGCAAACCUGAGAGGAGGGCCAGAGGCUUUGGGGCUCCCUUUAGAAGAGGUGGCACUUCCUGGGGAGCCACCUGGGGCUUUUUCAAGCAGGGUGAGGCUGGGGUCCUGGUGACCUCAUUGUCACAGUACAGGGAGAGGAGGACGAGGAGGACAGAUGUCGGCCACUUGCCUGUCUUCCAACCUGUUGGGCCCAGGUGGUCCUUGGAUGCUUAGAGGCUAAGUCCCCUCUGGAACAUCUGUGGCCCCAAGCGAGGGAGCAGUGCCCCCUGGCCACCUGUCCCAGGGGAGGCUGGCAUCUAGGAAAUCCAGCCUGCGCCUAAGGGGAAGGCUUGAAGUUUCCGGGUAAUCUGGGUUGGGUGGUUGUCCACUGAGGGCAUUUGUUCUGAGCAGGGGUGGCCUCCUGUGUGGGAGGGGCCAGGCCAGGUCACAUACAAGGUCAGGGACAACAGCCUGCUAUGCAGGGCCCCUCCUUGUUCCAGGUUUCUGGGCACUGAACAGAGAUACCCGUUGCUGACCUCCCCGUGCCCACCGGCACGGCCACAGAGCAGAGUGCUGGCUUCUCAGGAAGGACACACCGUUCAGCCGGGCUGGCUGCCCAGGAUGUCACUCUAAGGGCAGGAGGGGCGGGUCUUUAUUGGAAAGCUUGAUGGGGUCCAGCCUGCUGGCUCUCGUGACCCCUGUCACCCUGGCUGUGUUCCUCGUGGUCAGGGAGCUCAGGGCAGCGAGAGAGGCCAGCUGCCAGCUGGUGGAAGUCCAGCCUCCUGCAGCCAAGGGGCCUGAUGCCAGGCGGGCACUGCCCUGAGGUGGGAGCGCGCGGGCCCCGGCUCUGUGCUCUAGGAGUUAACAGCAUCUGCGCCCGGGGAGGCCCCCUCUCCCCGCUGGGCCGCCUCCUCCAGCCUUUCCCGGCACAGCCAGCCAGGGAGUCUGUGGUGCGAGCAGUCGGGGCCGGGGGUGCCGAGCUGGUGGGAACCUCUUCCGCUUCCUGAGCUCUCAGCCUCUUCCCCAGCGUGCCCGGUGGUUUGGCCCUGGUUCUCGAGCCGUCUGCUGCCCGUGCUGCCUCUGACCGACAUCGUUAGCGUGGGUAUUUAUAUUUCAUUAACGACAUUAAGCCCAAAUGGCAUUAAAAGCAAAGCUGGUGAUAAAUAGCUUAUUAAUAAACAGGGAGUGCUCCGUGCUGCCUGGCCUAUCCCAGCCCCAGCGUUAACCCUUGCUGCCCUAGAUAAAUAUGCUUCACCCCAAAGACCAGCCCCCAAAAGAUGGGGCCGGAAGGGCCUGUCACCUGCCCGUCCUCUACCGGAUACUCUCAGGUCCACGCACAUUGGAUCCCGAGUGGGCUAGUUCUGGGUCACUGCAGCUCAUGCGACCUGGCCAGAUCCCUCACGGCCUCUAAUCAAAUCCCCCUCACCCCAUCCUCACUAAUUUUGAUUCUGGGGAUGAAGAAUUUAGGAAAUCUGGCUUUUGUAGGCUGCAAGCUCAGGUCUUCUCCAUUUCCUUGAAGUUCUGUCUACAAGGACUUUGGAAUCAAAGACAGUGAUGCUGCCGGGUGCGGUGGCGGGCACCUGCAGUCCCAGCAGCUCCAGAGGCUGAGGCAGGAGGAUGGAGAGUUCAAAGCCAGCCUCAGCAACUCACGAAGACCUAAGGAACUCAGUGCGAUUCUGUCUCUAAUAAAAUACAAAAAAGGGCUGGGGAUGUGGCUCAGUGGUUAAACGCCCCUGGGUUCAAUCCCUGGUACCAGAAAAAAAAAAAAAAAGAGUGAUGCAUAUGAAAAUAAUAGCAGUGACACAGUGACAAGCACAGCUAACAUUUUCGGGGUGCUAACUGUGAGCAGGCCUUUCACUGAGCACAGGCCCCCAUCCUCACAGCCACCCCAGGGAGUCCCACUGAGCCUCACUGUAUAAGUGGCAAGGCACUUCCUGGAAGAGCGAAGCAGUUCUACCUACUGAAGCCCAGGUCACACAGAGGCUAGGCCCUGGUCAUGGUGCAGGACUUGGUACGGGGGGCCGUCCCUGGCUCCUGGGCCUCGGACCUGCCGAGGCUAUCCAGGGCUGUGGCUCCAGGCCUUGACUCUGCCUCUGUUGAGCCCCCUGCCCACCAGGACUCAGGUGUUCUGUUAGGCGAUGUCACUGGCCAGGUGAGCCCGCCUGCAUGCAGGCUGUCUGUCUGGAGGCCACAGACAUGCAUCACAGAGUCCAUCACCUCCUCUAGAACUCAGAAGUGCCAACAGGGAUGUCCGCGGUGACCCCAGUGAACAGAGUCCCGCAGGCCUGGGUUGUUUGGGGUUUCGGUCAGUGUUUUGUGGCUGUCAUCUCUUGAUGCUUGGAAGAAUUAGGGGCAGACUCGGUCCUCCCUUGCCCCGUCUCCCUGGCUGAAUCACUGAAGGUAAGAGGAGAAACCGGAGCCUCACUUAGAACAUCUCACCUUGACCAACCUGAGCAAGAAUUCUUGUCCCAUGCCCUGUCUCUUUGGAACUGUCUGGGCCACACCGGGUUGAAGGGGGCCAGGGACUCCCCGGGAGUUUUGCGGUGUAGAAAGGAAAGAGGAGGGAGAGUCGAAAGUGACGCUGCCGUGGGGUCCCAAGCAAGAGGGUGGGGCAGAGGGCUCAUCGCCGCGGCCUCUGCUUCUGCCCAGUGACGCAAACUUCCCACUCGCAGGAGAGUGCCGGGACUCCUGCUGCCUCAGCCGGGGGCCAGGCCUCUUCUCCCAGCCCAUCCCAAAGCUGGGAAGGAAGUAGGAAAGCAGCCACCAUCAGGAUCCUGGUCAGAAAGUUCCCUUCUCACCUGGGUGGCUGGACCUGACCCUCACACCCCACCCCCGCCGAGGAGAAUGACGCAGGAACCAGCAAGGCCCCGGCUGACCGCUAGGUGCUGUCAGGGCUGCCCCUAAGGCCAAAAGACCCGGCCACUUGCUCUGGCCAUGCAGGCCUUUAUGGUAACGGCAGGGCACAGUGUAUGGCAGAAUCACAGUUGUCACCGACAUUGUACUUAAAGUGCACUAGGUCUCUAGGCCUGUCCCUCCCGUAGCUAGCUGGUGGUCAGGAGGGAGAACCAACUGGGAGGAAGAUGGGAGAGAUGGGCUUUGAGACAGGCCACCCGAGUCGCUGUUUUGUAGAACUGUGGCCGUCCCUUCGCCAUGCUCGGCUCCACUGUCCUCUGUGACAUGAUUGUGCCUUCUCUGCAGGGAUGCAGUCUCUAAAAUGCCUGUGAUGGCCUUGGACCUGCGAGGCGCUGGGCGAGGGCUGGUGCCCGUAUUCCUGCUCUUACCUUGUUGUCGCUGAUAUUCUGUCUGAGAAACAGGGGAGGAAGUGGGUGAAGACUCACAUACACAGCAGGGCGUGGCCUGCCGCUCCCUCUGGGGACUGACGGCAGCACUGGUAGGGAUAAGUCCAUCCAUCCAGUCGUCCACUCAUCGUUUCUAGGACAUCUCCUCUGCUAGGCUCAGGAGGAGUGAGGACAGGGUGAGUCUAAGGGGAACGCAGCGGGGCUCCCAGCCAGGGCUCCUGGGGAAGGGCAGCCAGCUGUGGGUGUGGCCACUCUGGUUUCAGGCAGCUGCAGGGACCAAGGGAGAAGAGCUGGCAUCUCAGCAUGUGGCCCUGCUGCAUGGUGGGGCAGGUCCUUCCCCUCCCGUGCCGUGCCCACUGAUAGUGGGCUGGCUGUUGGCAGGCAUAAGCCACCUUGUUGUCCCUCUGCUAUGCGAAGCCCAGAACCUGGGCAGGGCUUCUGCUUGUCUGCCUGCCAGGUGUUGGAGUGCUGUGCUCCAGGCCCUUCCCUGGCCACCCGGCUGACAUGCCGUUCCUCUGGCCUUGGUGGAACAUGAGUGGCACGGUUUGGCCCAGGCUCGAGGGGGCACUUAGCAAGAGCCUCCGCCUGAGGAAUGAGGUUGGUCCCCUAGGUUGCAUCAAUUUCUGAGGGAUGGGGAUGUGCAGACCCCUCCCCUCUGCAGACCCCUCUUUCCCAAGGCAGCUUCCCUUCUUCUUCCCCUCCACCCUCUAAGGUGUCCUGUGUUCUCCAAGGGCCAAGGCUCAACAGGGGCCGGGGUGGGACGGCCAGUGGCUCCUGUGCAGAAGGUCUGUGUGGGCUUACCUUGCUUUAGUGGAACGUCACAGCAGACUGGGUGGCCUCCCUUAUGUGCCACUUGUCACUCUAAGGAUUCUGAGUGUCCACUCCUGCUUGAAAGGGACCACACGGGAAGAAGCUAUGAAGUCAUCUGUUUUGCCUCACGUGACCUAAGGAAAGGGGCUGGGGGUACAAUGGGUGACAGCUCCGGGGACUGGGAGAUGGUGGGUAUGGGCAGAUGGCUCAGUGUGCCCAGGAGCGGGGCCUGUGACCUCCUGGGCAAACCUUCAAGGGGGUCAAAGGCCGCUCCAUAUCCAGAGCGCUUUCUCUGCCUCGUUCCUGGGCCCAGUGGUGCCCUGACAGGAGGCCAGCCUCCCUGGGCUGGGCCGUGGGCAGGGAGGCCCUAGGAGAGGCCUGGGCCCAGAGCUGGCCCUCAGUCGGGCUUAGGGUGCCCUCUUGGCUCUGGGCAGUGCGGGCCUGUGGAGUGCCAGGCAGGGUGGCCACCACAAGGAGCCAGGAGGGGGAUGGCAGAAGGGGUCAUGCGUGUUCUGUCCUCUGGGAGCUUCUCCUACUUUCAUUUUCUUUUUGCCACUGUUUUUUUUUUUUUUUCCUUGGGGUCUAAUUAAAGACUUGGAGCCGUUUACAGCCUGUGGUUGGCUUUUUAUUUGGAGCCUUGGCAAUUACCUCCUGCCCUAAAAUAAGUUUCGAUGGAGCAGGGGUAGGCUUUUUCUUUCGGCCAAGUUCUCAGCUUUAAUUUUGCCGUGUGUGCGUGUGCGUGUGCGUGUGCACGUGUGUUCCUUCAUGCUCGAGUGUGUGAUGGGGUAACAUGACGCCUGCCCCUCCUCCCCUUUCCAAAUCCUUGUCACUUGCCCCAUCUCAAGUGUCCCUUGGCCAAGGCAGAGACCUGGACAGUGGGAACAGUAUGUCCUCAGCCUCACCCUGCCUGGAGGCACCUCGGUGACAACAGGCAGGUCAUCUGUUGACUCUGUCCCAGUUUCUUCACCUGCAAAUGGGGCCAGCGGGCUGGGCAUGACAGAGGCUUUGGUCCACACCACUUUGGAAACAGACCUCUUGAGUGGGGGAAGCCACUGCCGGCAGCACCAGCACCCCGGGCCUCGUUUGCCUCUUAAUCAACACCCUUUGAGUUUGAUAGGAACCUGUUGUCGUGUCCCCAUUUUAUCCCUCUCUGUUCCCCUGGCCACUGUGUGAGCAGAUGUGAUCACCCCAAGUUUAUUGCUGAGCCCUAAGGCCAGGGAUAAUUAGUGGCUUUUCUGAAAUCACUUUGCUUAAAAGAGACAGAGUCUUGAGAUUCAAACUCAGGUCCUAUGAUCUUCCAAAACCCAAACCCAAGACUUUGUGGGGCUCAGUGUAAAAUGAAAACGUGGAGCCCCUUGUCCUGAAAUAAGAAUUCUAGGACCCCAAGAACAGGACAUUAGACUGAGUGGGUGCCCUUCUGAGCACCUGUGUGGCUGCAGGGGUUGCAUGCCCAAGAAGCUAGCCCUGCCUGACGCCCUCUUGAGUCUCCUCCUAUCUGCUCUGUCGUACCCAUGAGGUGAUGGCAGGGAAGUCACAUAGGCCAGUGGUGCCCCCCUGGCUGCUGUGACCACCCCUUCAGGGGGGCUGGAAUCUGGGUUCUCCCAGCUCCUGAACUUUUCCAUGAGCCCUGUACAGGAUCUCUGGGUUCCCUGAGUCUCCUGGGGUCCUUCUCAGUUAGAGGUGAGGAACUGAAAAGUGGGUUCAAUAAGAACUCUUUUUCCUUGGGGUAGAGGUUGAAGUUUUGAGGACUUGGUCCUCCGAGUCCCAUUGAGGAGCUCAAUGAGAUUCUUUCUGUCAACCCAAAGCAAGUGGUGACCUGCCAAAAAUGUACAGGUCAACCUAGGCUCCAGUUGUUCCGCUUUGGGUAGAAGGUUAGCCAGCCCAUUCCUUGGGCAGAUCUGGAAACUUCCUAGCUGGUUGCUGGGGACUGGGAUUGCCAUGGAAACUUAUGGGUGGAUGGAUGGAUGGAUGGAUGGAUGGAUGGAGCACAUAGCUGGGUGUGAGCCCAUGCGAGUGCCCAUGUGCAUGCACACGCGUGCCACAGAGGACAGCUGUCAGGAUGAUUGGCUUUUACUGAAUUUCCCAGAUGGAGCGGCCUUUGCCUACCCGUCCAGUGUGCUCCUGCCCGUGGCCCCCUUUCUGUCUUCUGCUAAUGCCCCCUCAAAGAUGUCUGAGUGCCAAAGUCCUCGCUGCAAGAGCCCAUCUGGACUCUCUCCCAGGUGCCCCUGCUUCCCAGAAGCCUUCUAAAUUCUGGACCUUGGGUGUACUUAGGGUGAACCGUGUCCUGAAAACCAUGGUAGCCAUUUUUAUGGUGGGGGGACAACUUUGUGUAAAAUGGGGGCCAGGUGGGGGUGGGAGUCCCCCAGGCGCGAGGCCUGAGGCAGUUGGAGUAUAGGAGGGCGAGGUGCCCGAGUUUCCAAGGACUGAUUAGAUGGUAUGCCAAGUGUAUUAAAUUUUGCAGACAUUUUAACAGCAAUAUGCUAGAUAGUUGGGUGUCCCCUGAGGCGGCUGGAUUUUUUAUAUCCUUCACAGAAGGUCAGAACCCUCUUCUGCCUGCCUCCCCCUCCAUCCCAUGCUCUCUGCUCCACGGCUCACCCUCCCCUUUCUCAACAAUUUCCCUGGCUUCUCACUCUCUGCUCAUCAGGAACCUAAAAGACAUCUCUGGUCCCUGCCAGAAAGAGGGAGCACCGGUCCCUCCCGCCUCGCCAUUGGGCUGGUGUCAGGGGUCUCCAAGGCUGGGGAGGGCUCACGCUGGAAGCUUGAUUUCUGUUCUCUCUGCCCUGCACCCCUCCCCCCACUUUGGAGACUGUUCCUCCUUAUUUUUAUAGAAAAAAGGCAGGAAAAGCAUCCAUCUGGCAUAUGAAUAAUUGAAAUGGCUCAACCCUGUUCCUGUGGCUGCUGUUUGUUCUCAGCCCCCCCCCCCCCCCCCCCGGCCCGGCCCAUCCCCGUGAGCAUGGGUCUCUGAGCGGAGGCUGCGUGCGUGGGCAUUCUUCGAAGGGUCUCCGGUGAGGCCCAAGGCUCUCCUUAACCUUGAGUCCUUUCUCCCUGGGAACCAACAGGGCUGAGUGGGGGACAUUUGGAGAUGUGGUUUCCUUUUCACUGUCCAUGGGGAUAGCCAGCCCCUGGCUAGAGUCUCCCAAAUAUCACUGCAACUCAACCGGUUCCCUUGGCUCCCCGGUCUCAAGGGCCAGCUUCCGUCACCCUGGGCUCUCCCAGAGCCUCCCGGGAACCUCUGAUGUAUUAAAUUUUGCAGACAUUUUAACAGCAAUAUGCUAGAUAGCAAUAUGCCCAGCCUCCUCUUAUCCCCCAGCCUCUGCGCCCCGUCCUGAGGGCUCUGGUGACCUCCCAAAGCUUCAGGGGCUCUGGGGACUCCUCUUUGGGGAAACUGGCUCUGGCAGUGCUGUCCCAGACUUCUGAUCAGGCCUCUUGCCCAGAGGCCUCUGAGACACCCCGUCCCGUCCUCUGCCACCCCUAGUGUGCCCAGCUGAGGCUGCCCUGGCUGGAGGUGUGCCCUUCUCUGCGUCUUCAUUUAGCCUUUGGGUUGGGAGCCGUGAGAGAGGAGAUCCGCAACUUUGCUUUCUGGGAGGCAGCACGCGGCGGUGGGAGGGCGGGGCAGAGGCAGGCUGGCCGAGCUCAGGGCCUGGCCCGUCACUCCACCGGGCUGGGCCCAGCUGCACACCAGGCCCCGUGUCCCGGCCCAGAAUUCACUGUCUCUUUAAAACCCUUUAGAGGAAAACCAAAAGAAGUUUAGUGCAUUGAUUCUAGAUGAAGAUGGGCCUCCAGAUGAUAGCCUGACCCUCCUGGCUCCCUGCGAGAGCCCACUUCCCUCUCCUCCUCCCCCUCCCACCCUCCUGCCCCUCUGCCCGCCCUGCCUCUCCAUUCCCAUCCCUUGUUCUUGCUCUGUGAGAGGCUGACGUCAGGGUUGCAUGGAGUGUGGGCUUUCUGUUUGAAAAGUCAAUACUUCUGUUUGUCUGUUUGGGACAUCAUGUUUGUGUCAUGUGUGAAUAUUGACUUGCAGCCGUGGGCCCUGUGGUUAUUAAGUGCUGGGAGCCAGUGUGCAUUUCGGGACCACCGAGCGGCUGUGGUGGGGUGGGGCUGGCACGGGCAUCACCACAAAGUGGUGAGAGGCCUCAGAAGACGCCCCCAUAGGAAGAGGGUGCGAGCAACACCAGAACAUUCUAGAUCUUUUCUGGGUUCAUUUACAAAACUGCCCAGUCAGCAAAAAAUAAUUCGGAUGAAAUUCAAAUCAGGUUUGUUAAUAUAUAACCAUAAAUAUAUAAAUAUAUAAUAAAUAUAAAAGUCGUUUGUAAAGACUCCUACACAUGUUAUAAAAGCUGCAAAAUGUCUGACAUUCCAGGGCCUGGUACGAAUAAUUAGAUAUUUAUGUCCAAUAAAACUGGUUUGAUGGGGAAAUCGUUUCCCUGUGUGGAUUCUCAGUUGAGGACGAGUUUCGGUGGUUGGGUUUGUUUUUUUCCUGACAAUAAAACCAGGGGUUUGGCACCAACAAAUGUAUUUCCCGUAAAUAUCUAAAUCUCCGUUUUCCAGCGUGAGCUCUGCUGGACGGGCCCCGUCACGCCCGCCACUCUCCUCGCUGGCCUUUUCAUUGUCCCUGGAGAACAGUGUGCACGGCCCCUCCUCCCUGCACCCCGGGCCUGAGCUGUAGCCAGGACCACUCUGCCCCCCGCGCCCCUCCGCACCUAGACUGCUGCUGUGGGCUCUUCACUCUGCUCUUUUGGGGGAUCAGUUUUUUAGCCUGGGGCUUCUGCUCUCCUGCGCCCUGGAAGCCCAAUCUAAGCCCCUCCUACCCCCCCACUACCAUUUUUAAUUCCCGUCUUCACCUCCUGCUUUAGACCCUGCUCUCCCUUCUCUCGGGAGCUCUGUUUGACCCCCUGGCCCAUAGCCUUCAGGGCCUCUACCACGUGCCUGGAGGCCCUGGGGAGGCAGUUUGCCUUACUGCCCUGGCUUGGGGAGAUCGCCCAGCCCCACCCUUGUUUUUCUUCCAUCUGUUCCACAGCCGUGAACAGAUGGAGCCAGGAGCCAGAAGGUGCUGUCGAUGACUGUGACCUCUCUCUCCCAUUAUACGGAUGUGGAGCUGAGGCCCCAAGUCGGGCAGAUGGCUUGGGGUGAGGGGCUGGCUUAAGAGUCCUAAGUGGGACAGACAGAGCUGGGCCAGAAGUACAGCCCCUGGCUUGACCUCCCUCUGGUUCUGGGCGUGCGGAAGGGGAGCACACCUACUCCACAGGGACCCCUGGGGCAAGUGGCCUCCCUCUCUGAGCCUUGCAUUUCGGACCAGUGACGAGGAAUCAGUGCUCACUCCGCUGUAAGGCCACCCAGAGGAGCGACUCAAUGAAGUGUCUACGAGUCGCACCUUGGGUUCUGGGCCGACGGGUCCGUUCCCCAGGAAGAAGGGAGUCAGGUUCACCCAAUGGCCCAAGCCCGGACCUGCAUGUCACCGGGUUGCUUGACACUGGGGUGAGGGCCUGUCUACGGGGCUCCCCCUGGGUGGUGGGAUUGCUUUUGCCUGUCUCCCAGCAUGGCUGGGACGUUCUGGCUGGGUUCAGGGUGCCUUAGAGCUUCCCAGGGGUCUGCUGUGACUUAACUUCAGCCAGGAAGGAAAAGCCACUGGUGGAGGAGCAGCACCCGGGUGCUGGGGUCUUCAGGGUUCCUCAGGAACGCACCCCAGAGGCAGGGCCAGAGAAGCCGCAAGGGUGCACUGCAGCGCCUUCGCCAAGACCCAGCCCAGCUCUGUCUGGGACAUUUGGCCCAAACUGUAACCUGGGCCCUACGGAGGCUGGUGGCCCCGAUGUUCUGACAGACAUCUUUCAGAUCAAAGAAAAGGAGUCUCCUGGCAGCCAGCACGCCCAGGAGGAGGGGAGAGGGCUGGCAUCCUCCCGAGCCCCCUUCCAGACGUCCGGGAUGGCCCUCGGAGCCGCGAAUUAAUAUCUCGACACUCAUCACUGUCAUCUGUCGGGACCCAUGGCGACCCCGACGACUCGCCACCGUGACGGUGUACGGUGCUCGGGUGUGAGAAGGAGGCGAGAUUAGCUCCUGCUCCUUGCUGAGGACCCUGCGUGUUCGUGCUGGGCGUGGCCAGCAGCCCAGGCCCCCACCCCCCCAGGAUAACCCUUAAGUGACACACAGUGGCAUGCCAGCUUCACCUGUACCCGUCCCCGGAGCGGAGAGGCCCAGAGCACACGGGACCACCCUCCAGGGGUGGCUCUCUUAGGCCAGUAAGUUUCAAGACACACUAUUGCCCAGGGGACGGGACCCUGGCCUGGAAUUCAAAGCCGCCCUCCAAAAGACACCUGGGUGGCUUGUUUUUCAAUGUUGUCUUUUUUCUUCCUCCUUUUCCCCAACCCUCGCAAAACUAAAAAAAAAAAACUUGGAGAAGCAGAGCCCAAGCUGCCUGUGACUGGCUCACAGAGAAGCCAGUCAAACCUCCCCUUGUUGAGAACAUUUUGACAGCAUAAAAUUGUUGCCGGAAUGUGACUUUAACGAAAAGUAAAAAAAAAAAAAAAAGAAAAAAAGAAAAAAAAAUCCUUCCUUCAUGCAUAUGGAGUUUUUUGGAAAAAAAAAUGGUAUUUUAAUGCUUUCUAUUAAAUUGGGACUAAAAGUGGUGUCUUAAUUUGCAUGCAUUAGCAUAUUUGCAUAUAGAUCACUGAAAUGGUGGAAGAGAGAAGAGCCUUUAAAUGAAAAUUCUUUUAAAGGCACAGGCCCGCUUCCCUCCCCACCUCCCUCUGGGAUUUAUGCUUGAUCUUUUCCUCUCACCUCCAACCCCACCUUUAUGUCUUGAUUAAGCUGUGAAUGGACAGGAGAGUCAAGGCUCUACUUCUUAGGAGCCAAUUCGGGGUGGAGUCAAGGGGCCAGAAAGUCCUGGCCCUUGAUCACCCCCUGGCAGAGCUCUGAGCUGGCCUGUCCUGGCAGUGAGUGGCUCUGGAGGACGGGCCUAUGUCCACGCCGACAGGCAGGUGGCCUGGACCCCCGGGCCUCUUCCAGCCAUUAUCCUGCCCUCUUUCUGGCUCUUCCCCUCCCACCCCCGCCCCCCGGGCCAGGUUGGUUCUAUAGAAGCCCACUGUGGGCACCUGUCCUGCCAGCCCCUGGCCCCAGAGGAGGGGAUGCUCUUCUUCCUCUGGUGUAACCCAUCUCCAUCCUCCGUUACUCUCUGCCACUGUCCUUGUUUCACUGUCUGCAGAGAACUCACUAGUUGUUUGUUUACUUGAUGAUUUGUCUCUUCCCGCCAACACCACCCUUGCCAAGGACAAACUCCACAGAAGCACAGCCCGGUGGCCGACUCAUUCAUAGCUAGACCCAUGGUGCUACUGACAACGCCCAGCGCAUUAUGGGUAUUCAGUAACUGUUCAUUGAAUGAGUGAAAGGGGGCUGGGACUCCUGCCAGGCUGAGCCUUUCCCAGUGCCAUGGUCUCAUGGUACACAGUGCCACACCCCAGCCCCCUUUAGAUGUCUUCAGCCUUGCUGGAGGAGCAGGAUUUGGGAAUUGUCCAGGGCCUUCCAGUCUGAUCCCAGGCCCUCAAAGAAUGCUUUAGCCCACCCUUGUUCCUUUGGAUGGCAGGCUGGAUGGAGUGGGGACCUGGCCUUAGGGAGCAAUCGGGCAGGGUGGCCUAUAGGAAAUGUUCAGCAUGGGGGAAAGAGCUGGGGCUGAUGAAGCUAGGGUCACCUUAUGCCAACACAAGGGCCUCCAACCCUGUAGCCAUAUAGAUCUUUAUUUGGCACCCUUCCUCCCAGAAACUUCAGGGUGCACCAUCAAUGCCCUGGUUUCUGUACCCCAGUUGUGCUGCUGGCUGUCCCUAGUCUAGGUGAAAGAGUCCUGGGAAACCCCACCAUGCUCUCUGCAUUCCAGAGGGACAGCCCGGGAAGUGAGGUCUAGCCACUGAGCCCUGAGCCAUCCCUCCCUUCCCUACUCGGGUGGGCUGGGCUUUCCAAAAGGCCCCUCCAGGCUGACAGCAGCCUCGGGCUCCAUGCCCAGCCUGAAGGGGGAGGGCCGAGAAGGGUGAGGGGGACGCCCAGGGUUGGAGCGGGACUGUGCCUCCACCGCUAAUGAAAAUCGGAAACCAAUUGAGCAGGACAAGGUGCCCCGCCAGCAGGUUGUGGGAACAAGGGUCCUAAUGGAUGUGGCUGGUGGGGGGAGCGGAUGCCUCAUUGAUCGCCCAGUGGCUAUAUUUAUCCACCUUGGGUCUGUGGCCCUAGCAGCUGGAUGGUACAGGGAUAAAUAAAUGGCCACUGAAAUAUUCAUGAGCUGCACAUGCACAUCCGUGGUCAGGGGUGCCGCCAGGGCCUGCUCUUCCUUCCUUCGCCCAUCUCUCUGCAGAAGCCUUUCAGGAAAUUCCUCCCACCUGGGCCAGGUGACGCGUGGCCCAGCCCCACUGGGCACCCAGCCCAGCCACAGCCCUGGGAGCACCUGCAGGCCUGGGCACCUUCUAUCCUGGGCCAGCUGACUGUUUUCAGACUGGUCCCUGCCUUGCCUUUGUCCCCUCCAUUGCCCCUGUGUCCCUGUCCCUUAAUGAUGGAUUAGACACGUGGGGCCGUGGCUAUUUGCUUGACCCUGUAUGCCCUGCUAGACCAUGUCCUACUCCUGAAGGACAAGCUUGUGGCUCAUUUGUCCCUGGAUUUCCCCCGUGGCCUGGCACGGUGCCUGAUGUGUCCUUGAGAGGAGCAUCAUCUGAGUGAGGCUCAGAGGUGGGCUUGCGUCUCAGGUCUGUCCUCUCAGGUCUUCUCCUUGCUGAACUCACUGUCCUCAUCGGCAAAAUGGGUUUAGGAACAGUGCUGGGGUGUCAUUGAGUGUGGGCUUGGGGCUCCCCAAAUCAGAAGCCCUAGCAGGUUAAGGACACCGUUCUGGGGCCAUCCAUACUGCUGAAUGAGACUCUCCAAAGGAGGGACUGAAGGCUUAGUGAGCUUGUUGGUUUGCUGCUCACUGAGAUGUAGAAGUCCUGGCUUUGACCUUCCAAUGUCUUAGUCCAGGUAGCAUAUGGCUACCAGGUCUGCUCUGAGUUGUUCAGCCCCUGGGAAACAGGGCCAGGAGGUCAAGGGAGAGAGGAUGAUUCUAGAGGGUCUGGAAGCCAGGCUUCUGGUAAAGCUGCCUGGUGUGGAGUAGAGCUGCCAGAGACUGAGCAGAUGGGCCAGUAGUGCUCUGUGGUAGGGUCUAGAAAUGCGGCCGGGGCUGCCCAUGGGCAACAGGUGGGUGGGGCCAGGGCAGGGACCUGUGGGCAUCCUCCAUGAUCUGGAGGUCUGUUGUGGGCAGUGCCCAAGAGGGUGCAGAUGUGGUGCUCUCUGGGGUUUCAUCUGCCUUUAACCUCGCAGCUCCUCCCCGGUGGAAGGAAGGGAAGAGCUCGGCCCCUGGGCAGGAGUGAGCAGUGUCAAGAGCUAUGGGUGCUUGCUCAGGGCUGGCUGGACAGCACACUCUCCAACCAGAUUGCCUGUGGCACCACAACCACAAGCUGCUGCCUCUGGGUACCCUGGGUACCGCAGCUCACGCUGCCCCUUUGGUGUACUGCUGACCUGUUGGUGGCAUGGGCCCGUCCCCUGGUAGGCAGAUGCCCAUGACUGGAAACCAUUUGACCCUGUUUAACCGAGGGGACUGAGGGUUCAGCUGACCAUCUGUGGUGGGUCUCUGAGGGCUCCGGGCACAGAGACCAGGAGAGUCGCAGGGGAUGGGUGAGGGCAGAGCUCGCAUCGGCAGCUCAGCCAGGAGGAGCCAGCCGUCCCUCCUCCCUGCCAGCCCACCUCCUCCCCCAGCCAAAGUUUGAUCCAAACAGAAGCAAACUUUGGGGACAGCCCUGGCUCUGCGUGGAGCCUGCGGAGCCUGCGAGUGGCAGCGAGAGCAGAGGGAGGCAGCCCCGGCAGCCUUGGCGCCUGACUCCACGGUCCUCUGUCCCCUCCCAGAGCUCCCGGUCCGCGCCCGCGUUUGCAGGCGCCUCUCUCGUCAGCUCAGAAUGCAGCUUGGGGCCCGUGGCGGCUCAACCUUUCCCUCUCCCAGAGCCCCGGUCUAAUCAACCCCUAUAAUUUAUGCAGAAAAUAUGAUUUAUAUUUAAUUUCACCACACUUGCAUUGUUAAUUUGAGAUGUAAUUAACCCGUCGCCAUGACAACUAAUUUUGUGAUGCCGUAAAUUACCGCCGUCUUUUCAUCAAAAUUCAGUUACUUUGGCUCCUGUGUGCAAUGUACUGAUGCAAUUAGGUUGCUAAGGGCAACUCAAAAGUGUUCAAUUUCUUUUGUGCAACUGCAAUGGGGUAGAAGCUCCCUUGCGUCCUCCCAGGGUCCCCCUGGCCAUGGGGCGGGGAGCCCAGGGUCCGAGGCUGCCCUAGAGGAAUGCUGCUGGAGAGCCGGGCUGGGUGGGCGCCCGUGGCCUCUGCUUCUCUGCCUCCCACCCUCUUUUCUCCAGUAAUUGUUUUUAAGCAGUGGCCCCUGGACGCAUGCUCCCUGUGCCCCCCACAGGACCUCAGGGCAGCCAAGGGGCUCUCCCCUCGCCGGCUUAGGCGCUGCCUUGCCUGGUCCUGUCCCACGUUUUGGUGCUGCGCUUAGCAAGAAGAGCACCUUGCUUUCUUCCUGUUGGUGUCUAACUUGUUUAUAUAGAUCUUCCUUCUCCCUCUCUCUGUUUCUCUCUCUCUCUCUCUUUUUUUUCUUUAUUUAAAACAAAAACCCUCUGUGUUGCUUUUGUCACGUUAAUUCCCAUUUUGCCAACACCAGGGGCCCAGGCAGACGAGUUACCAAGGAACACAAAAUUUUAAUUAGUGUAUUUUAAUCAUUCAGGCUUUCCCAGCUAAUCCACAUGCCCUAGAGAAUUCCCGAGAUGCAGCUCUGCUCUGCUUUACCAUUUAUUGUUGAGUCUAUUAUAAUUACUGUUAGCAGGUGGGGACUGGGAGAUGUUUAUUAUGAGUUUUUCAUCUUUAGUAUAAUUACCGAAAAAAACAAAAUAAAAAGAUGUCGUUGUAUUUUGUUUCCUAGAAUUUUUUUUUUUUCCAGUGGAGGGCAUGGCCGUGGGAUAUUUUUUCCCUGCCUCUUCCCAGGCAGGUGACUUGGAAUUUCAGCGCAGGAAGAAACACUCCUCAGGAUCAGGGCUGAGUGCUGCCCAGCACUCCACAGGCCCAGGAAGGUGGGCGGCUGCCACCUCUGCUUGUCAUCUGCUCAGACAGGCCCUGGGGCUGCCCCCUCCCACCGGUGUGGGGUGGCUGUGCAUCGAUGGGGGCUGAGGCGGAUAGGCCAGCUCCCAGUGUUCCUGCCUCAGCCUGGUGGCUUUGCCUGGUACGGGUCAGUCUGGGGGUCAGCCAGCGUGGACCUGUUGGAGAUCAGAACAGCACCUGUGUGACUUUAAAUGUAACUGUCGGCGUUUAUUCAGUGCUUAGUAUGUGCCAAGACCCGUGUCACGGUCUUUAGCUGCAUAAUUUCACUUAAUCCCUCAGCAGCCCUCUGAGGCAGAUACCAAUAUCAACUCUGAUUUAUAGAGCAGGAGCCAGGCUCGGGAUCACAGAGCUGAGAAGUAGCAGCAAAGGAUUCAAACCCAAGUCUGUCCCCAGAGCCCAGGUUCACGCCAACUAUACCACAUUGGCUCUUCUGAGUAGGUCUUCCAGGUCACACCAGAGAUGCGGCCUUCUCCGAAAAGCCUUCCAGGAUUGCCUGAGACUGAGUUAGGGCUCUUUAUGUCACUACAGCCUCACAGUCUCAGUGCCUGUCCCUCUGAGUUGUAGUUGCCCGGUGACUUCUUUACUGGCCUCUGAUAAUAGGGAGCAUUGAGGGUAGAGGGCUUUCUGCCAUUGUCCCUGAUGUAGCAUAUAAUGUCCCUGGCACAAAGGCAGCUCAGGAAGUUUGUGGGGCAGGUGGGCACGCUGGUUCCUGAUGGUACUGCACUAUAACCUCUGCUCGGCAGGUCACGUGUCAGGAUGCAGACAUCCCUCAAAGACACUUCUCUCGGCAGAAGCCACAGGUCUGUGGUCCUGGGUUUCCAAUUCCUGCAGGAAGGGGUACCCCGGGGUUCUAGGCCAAGUUUGGAUCCUGUCCUGGGAACUCUGGGUGUGAAAUGGGAACUCAGCUUUGGCUUCCGUUUGGCCCCCCAUGUUGGUGGUGUCCCUGGGCUUACUUUUCUUUCUCCUCUCUAAGAUUGGUUUACAGAUGUUUUCCCCAAGCCGUGAUGCUUUUGAAGUUUUCCUGGAAAAUUCCACAUCUCUGCCCUAGAGCUCGGCUAGGGGGCCGAGGGCCGUUGGUUUCCCCAGGCAGCGUGGAGCGGAAUGCUGGAGCUGCAGCCUGCCGGUGCUCCUCUCCAGCCUGGUUUCCCCCAGGGACAGUGGGAGAAGAUAAUUAGCACGUCCCUGGGAAGGGGCCCAGGGCAGGCUGCGAACUGCACACUGAUGGCAGGACUCCCUGUUCAGUGCCACAUUCUUGGGCACCCCCUUUGCCAGCUCCUCUUUAUAUUCUGAUGGAGCAGUGUGACUCACCUGCACCCCAAGCAGCUGCCCUCCCAUGGGGGUCCAGACCCUGCUCAAGUCCAAGGGCGGAGAUGGCCACUUCCCCCAGUGGUUGUUCUAAUACUUGCUGGGAGCAUCUGGCAUCGGGCCCUGCCCAAGCCUCUGCACUCCCCAGGCACAUGAUCCUACUGAGGCUGAACAUGUCUAAUGUGAAAAUACAAAAUUCCAAAUGCUCCAAAAUUUGAAACUUUUUGAGCACCAACAAAACACCACAACUGGAAUUCCACAUCUGGCCUUAUGUGACUGGUCACAGUGCAAAUGAAGAUGCACUAAAAUUAUAUAAAAUUACUUUCUGGCUGUGUGUAGGAGGUACCCAUGAAACAUGAAUGAAUUUGGUGUUCGGAUUUGGGUCGCAUCCUGAGAUACCUCAUAUGUCUGUGCAAAUAUUCCCAAAUCCCCAAAAAUUGGAAAUCAGAAAUGCUUCGGAUCCCAAGCAUUUUUUUAAAAAAAUUUUUUAGUUGUUGAUAGACCUUUAUUUUAUUUAUUUAUACAUGGUGCUGAGAAUCGAACCCAGUGCCUCACAUGUGCCAUGCUAAUGUCCUACGGCUGAGCCCCAGCCCCAGCCCCAGCCCCAGCUCUGGAUCCCAGGCAUUUUGGAUAAGGAAUACUAACCCUGCAUCAGUCACGUAGGAUAUGAAGUGGGGCCAGCGAUUUGUCCCUGAGGCGCCUCAUCCCACAUCCCCUACAUAGAUUUUCUGCUCCUACUGCUCUAAGAGAGUAGUUCUUGAAUUUGUUGGUCUUAGGACCCUGUUAUAUUCCUAAAAUAUAUUGAGGACCCCAUUUUGGUUCAUGGGAAUUUUAUUUUCCAAUAUUUAUCAGGUUAGAAAUUAAAACCAAGACAUUGUUAAAAAAACAUUUAUUAAUUCAUUUUUAAUAAUAUUAUUAAACUAUAACAAAUCCAUUACUAUGCGGAAUAUAUUUUUGUAACUGUCUUCCAGAAUAAGUGUUAGCAAGAUGAUUGGUGUUGCAUUACACUUGUGCAAGUUUCUUGGAUGUUUGACUCAAGAGAGGGUGGCUGGAUGUUCUCUUGGGUCUCUGCUUCCAGGCUCAAUCCUUUCCUUUGGGUUGUUUAGAUCAAAGGCAGUGAAGAAAACCCAGCUUCAUGUGGGCCUUGCUGGACAAGGGAGGAGGCUUUGCAUGGCUGUUGCAGACGGUUGAGCACGUUCUUCUUUGAUAUUACACCAAAACUCAACAAGUGGUUUCUCAAAGAUUUGUUGUAUCUGGUCGGUGAACCCACCCCAUCACAGUAAAACCCAGUGGGCUCAUUGGCUCUGGGAAUGACUCAUUCCCUGAUCUGAGAUUUUGUAACCUUGUAUGGGUCACUUGGAAAACACGAGUUCCCUGGGGAAUGCAGAUCUUUGGAAUGUUGAGCAUUUCAUUACAUGGCAUUUAGUGAAUCGGAGUCAUUAGUGUCACCACUGAUCUCAUCAGAAAAGCUGUUACGUGCAAGGACACUGUCUAAGUCAGAGUGACAGAUGUAAGUUCUCCAAAAGUCUUAAUUCUCCCUUGAAAUCUCAGGUUUGAUCAUUGGCCGCAGAUACUGUCCACCUUUUUCUCUUGAGGUACAGGCUUACUUUGGUCCCUUUUGAGAAAGUAGCUGCCAAAUACUCAGAUCUAAAGUAUCGCAAUGUGUCUGUCAGUGGCUCUUUCCUGGUGUUCCCUGAUGCGCCACCGUGUAAGACGAAAGACAAAGAGUCCGUUCAAGUGAAGGGGGUAGUUAAGAACCUGAACCCAAACGAUGUCGUCUUACGGUUCACACCGAGCUAAAGUAGGGAAUCUGAGAGAGAAAAAAAAAAAAAAUUAUAAAUAAAUCAACGUCCACCUGUGUUAUAGAAAUAAAGUAAAAGUGCACCAUGACUCCAAACUUGGGUCACGGAGUGUACACGAUCCGCUCGUGGGAUGGUGACUCGGUGUUGGGGUCGGGGGGAAUCUGAGAAUUUGUCUGUGUAUGAGCUCCCAGGUCUAAGGUAGUUUCAGUGGUCAAAAAAAACCGAAGUAGGCCCUGUAAAAAUUCACUUGCACCACCCCACAAAAAAACCAAAAGCUCGGUCUUCAUGCACCCCGGCCCCUACCGUCGCCGACGAGGACGUCGUCGACGUCGAGGACCAGCCCUCGACCGCGAAGGGGGGGCAGUCACGUCGCAGUGGUGCACCUCCUUCCGCGCACCGUUACACCCUACUAGUGUCUUCCGCAGGACGGAACUACCUCGACGACUUUCCCAGGACUCUCGUGUGUCUCUGGACGUCCCCUGAGAAACUCUUGGUAGUGGGAGUCGGAGACCAGACAGAGAGGGACACCCCGAGGUCGGGGCAGAAGGGGGUAGUCUUUCGGGUGUAGGAACCGGACUAGUAACCGAGUCGGGCGGAGGACCCGUAACGGGUAGACUGCGACGUCACCCCUCUCUGUCGUCCCCCUGUGUCCCAGGAAUCCCCCGUCAGACCCUCUCCCUCCCUUCGGGGACCGGACCGGUGACGUCACCUGUCUACGAGUUCAGGGCCGUGCGUUAUCUUUCUCGAACCUCCGGUAGAACGGGGGACACUCCCGACUCCGGGCAGAACGUAACCCCUGGAGUCACGGAGGUGGGACGCCACCGGGUCAAAGGGUAGUCGGUGGACGGAGGUACGACCCCCGGUACCUCGGUUCCCGUCCGGACUGGGGGAGGAGGGGCACCGGAGGGAAAGGAAGGGUGAGGGGAAGGGGGUCGACGGAGGGUCGGUGGAGGGGGUCGUACCGUCGGACAGGUUCUGUGACCCAAAACAGGGGAGCUAGGCCCGUGGGACUCUCACUCUCUUUUAUCGACAGGUCACUCACACCCCCCUCCGGAGAACAAAAGGGGAGAGUCGGCGACCAAAAGGGUUGAAAGGGUAGGGUAGAGGAUACCUUGUUUCCCGGAGACCGGGGCACACGACCCGACCCGGGUCGCUCCCCUGAGUGGUCGUUGAGAAAUAACUCAGAAGUUCGCGGCCGGUCCGUGAGGUAAUUUUUCGGUAAGGGGAAACACGACGGGCCGGGGGUCGACAGGGGGGAGAGUACACUACCAGCCAGUGUCAACAUUUUGUUGUUGUGUGUCUCAACCGUUGAUUGCUCCGAAAAAAAGUUCGGUCCCAGAGGUACCGUUGGGGGCAGUUAGUGGGGAGUCCUCGCGAAAUUGGACUGGUUCUCCCCCUUUAUUUUUUAUUUUAUUAUUAUUAUUAUUAUUAUUAUUUCUUUCUUUCUCAACCUUUCGCUCGCUCUCCGGUCAUCUGUUGACCCCUCCCUUCACUAAGUCUUUCAAAGACCCCAACCCUUGUGUCCUUUUAACUUAGUCGACCUGUCCUAACGGAGUCACUGGUCUCCCCUUCCUUCAAGUAAAAUUUAUACAAGUGUAUAUCAAACAUGUAACUUUGACUAAAAUACUUCAGAGGACUGCAGAGCAAGACACCGGGUAUUUUACUACCUUGUACAAACAGUCGUCAGCCUCGACCUCCCUCCCACCGAGGGUACCCGUGUAUUAUCACUUAUCUACCAUGGUCCCCGGGUUUGGUUCUCCACGGGUCAACUACCGGAGUUCGGUCACCCCUCUCGGUAAGUCUCGAACCGAACUCAGGUCGUCCCACAGACUCAGGAAGGUACACGCCGGGUCACGGUUACCCCUAUCGGGUGCCAUACACUACCCGUACCUCGGUUCCCCUGUGAACCCCCGGGGGUAGGAACCACGGUACAUCCCUUCCUCGUCUGGAUGGUAGUACUACACAACUUCCCCUAGUACCCCACCACCCUGGGGAGCAAGAAGUGCACGACAGUACGGUCGUCUACGGGCCAAAGACCCGUGCACCGUAACGCGGGUCCCACUCAAGUUGGAAGGAACACAACCGUACCACGGCCCCGUACCGUUCGAACUCAAGAGGGGGGUCGAGCGGGGGACUGUGAGUAUGUACGACGGACCGUCGAUCGGUCCCCGAGGUGUCCAAGGGUCCAAACACGUCGGACCCGUGCCCGACACCCGUCGGGACCGUCGACGGCGGACCGGGAAGACUGUUGAGACUAGUCCCUCCUCCUCUUCCGGUCGAAGAGUCGGUCGGAAGGGGCGAGUCGUGGGUGUUUAGAUGACACGUCUGCGAGUAAGAGGGACCCUCGCCGUUCUCCUGCCCCAAGUCAGUACCGAGGACCGUGGAACCCCUCCCAAAAGAGUAAGAACCUCAAACCCUUGGACCGAUCUCCGGGCUCACGUAGUUCCUUCCCCUAGGUUCCUUGUCUUGGAAUUCAAAGGUCUUAUAAAGUUUCUCACCCGUAGUCCAGUCACAGCCAACCCAGUGACAACCCACCACGACCUGGAGAGUCCCGGACCCCUGUUUUCCUGACCUCCUUGGAUUCAGACACUCAAACCCCACUUAACCCCCCUCCAACCUGAAAAAGAACCUGAAGUUUCGGGACGUGUCUCGACCAUGGACCUCCUCGUCUCUCGUAACACUUGCGUACCCACUAUUUCCCCUACACCGGCCUCGUGCUCCAGGGUGCCCGACGAAGGAUAUUAUACUCCCGACACCCGGCCCGAGAGUACUGUCCACCGAGUACCGAGACGUCGGGGACAAGAGGCACCGUACGACAGUGGGUCCUAGAGGGUCCCGACUGGACCUUGGUGGCGCCCGGUGAGGGAGGCAGACGGGUCGAGAGGGAGAGGAGGCGACGAGAAAGACGCCACAGGGAGAGGCGGAAGAGAACCAGGAGUCAGGAAAGGUGAGGGUACGAGACUAGUGAAGGUCUCCGUUGGAGAGUCCAGUGGACAGGGGUUGAAGAGGGAACGGGGUUGAGAUCGUCACCCUUCGGCCCACCCUCGGGGUACGGCACGGUCCAUACACUGUAGAGUCACCCAAAUGUCUUCGACUGAGUGAGAGUAAAGGAGGUUCCUUUCUCGGUCCUGUUCCCUCUGGGACCGAAGGACUCCUCGGGGACACGUCGGAGAGGACCGAGGGAAACCUCGGGACACGGUGACGACGCCCACACCAUCCCUGGGAGGUCCCUGGUCUCGUCGAAACCGUCCCGGGGCAGAAACGUAGAGGUAAGGACCCACGGGACCCUUCGAGGACGUCCUCUUCUUACGAUCGUUAGACGACCACAUCAUUCGACCGUGGCGUGGGUCCGUCCCGGUGUACCACGGUCCCGGAUCAUUUCUGCAACCGCUCCCGACGGAAGGGGCACGGACCUCAAAGGAGGUCGGCCCAACCGUACACCGGAAGUCGAGUCGGACUCCGUCGAGUUCCCGCUCCACCGGAGGAGUCGUCCGGUGUCGGGACGUGGGGACGGACGGACCCCCUGGUGUGUAGGUCAGGAGGAGGAGGACGGGGUCGCUCUCCCUGGUGUCACCACUCCUCAGACAUCGCAGAACGCCUUCCUCCUCGACUCACCCCGAUCUUCCUGUCACAGGACGCAGGACCGACACCCAGUCGUCGGGGCCUCGGUCCUCCGGACCGGAAGGUCAAGGGUCGGAGAAGAGGAGUCAUUUGCUCCUACACCCGGUUCGUAGAGAGAACAUCCCAAAGACACCGGAAGAUUAGUCCCUCGUAGGUUCUUCCUGAAGCGAGACGGACCCUGUGAUUUGUAAUCACUAACGACGACGACCACCACCACCCCCAUUCUGUCGCGGGUGGGGAUCUACCGAACUCAGGACUCGACUGAAUGGAGAACACUCAGUAUGGGGCCCAGCCUGAGUGAGUGCCCGGUGUCAGCCGACAUCCUGAUUAUCACGCCAUUAUCAUUUCCCCAUGCACCGAGGUGGAACCUCACCUUGCUCUUGCUAUUAAAGGACCUUGAGGAUGCUGCCCCCACAGAGCCCAGCCCAUCCUUCUAGAACAUUCAGCAGGUCCCUUGCUCUGGCAUCCACAGCCCUCCCCUCCCACCGCCUCUUCACUCACCUGUCCAGGAUUCCCCCCCUCCACCAGCCUCUCUGGGGUUUCCUAGCAAAAAAGGGCUUCCCAGAUCCAGCCUCUCCUCCUCCCUGCAAGCUCUCCCCCAGGCCUGACUGUGUAUUGUAACAUAGUAGCUGAAUGAACUCCGGUUUCAAAGGUUAAUAUCAAAAUCUGGAGUGGAUUACCUAAAACUUACUUACAACACCAUUAAAAUUCUGAACUCUUUUUGUUGUGGCUGUAAAUUAAUUUAAAAUGUCAGGUUUUUUGAGAAAUCCAAUAAGAAAUUGAGCCAACAGAGCAAUCUGCAAACUGUCUGGCAAAGAGGAAAGUGUGUCUCUUCAAUCGACAGGGAAAAAUAUGGAGCUUAACUGGAACCAUAUGGCUCAGUACUUGAGAGAAGUCUGCGGAAGAGGGAGGGCGGGAGGGGAGGGGGGCGCUCAGCUGACAGCCUCACGCAGGCAGCAGGCUGGCCGCGGCGUUGGCAUCAACGCUGCAGAGGGGCCUGGCAGACGCCUGGCACACGGCCUACUUGGCUGCCCAGCGUCCACGGUCACCAGGCGGCCCUGGACUGCAACUGGUCAGGGCAUGGUCUUAACACUUUCUCUCGUGUCUCUCCAGGACUCCCCGCCAACUCGGGAGUCCCACCCCCGCCCCUAGGGGACCCCAAGCCCUGUCCCUGGUGGGGAGGAGUCUGGGCAUCUAGCUUGUGCCUGCAACAGCCACCUGCGUCUGUAAGGCUGCCUCCCCCAGUCCUCUGUGGGCUCCCUCCCAGCCAACAUGUGGUCCCCAUUACUCCUGAAUUCCCCCAGAUUUACAACACAUUAAGUAAUUUGUAGGUUAUUUCAACUUCAAUCUGCUAAAGUUGAGAAAAUCAAAACUAAAUUCAAACCACAAGGAAACUUCAAAGAAAGAGGAGGAAGAGAAAACCCCCAGAGCUCCUCUCCUCCAGGUCCCGUAUGUCCCCCUUCUGUCCUGAUCUGAGGAUCCCGGCCAGCCCCCCACUGCCUGCCUUCCUCUGGGCCUCCCCUUUCCUGGCCUGCACCUCACCCAGGGCCCUCCCCUCUGUCUCUGGAUAGGCUAUGCCUCGGUUGCCCUCUGCGUGAGCAUGCGGGCGCAGGGGCUGCUGUGGGGCUCACGCUGGGAUGGGUGGGUUUGGUGUGGGGAGGGGGACAUGCCUCUCCAGCUUUCCGUAUUCUCUGCUCCCGUUCCCUGGGCCCUCACCGUUUCCGGGCUCCAGAGCCUCUCUGUUCGCUUUCCUGGCCCAUUUUGGGGGAGUCUCCACGGCUCUGUUCCGGCUCCUUCCAUGCCUGGGACAGCUGGCAGCUAGUAGGUACCACCUGGCCCCUCGGUGUACUAGCUCAGUUUACCUUAUUUUGCUUGCUACCCUUUAAAACAGCCUUGUAAAUAAGCAAACACUCGGUGCCAAGCACCUUCGGCACUUCGCCAGGCUGGUAAAUAUUUUAGUAGUGACUUGGUAACAGUUGUGUUCACUUUGAUUUCCUCGGAAAGGUUCUUGGUGCUGGGGAGGGGCCGUGGCUUGGGGAAACCAUUUGCUGGUUAUUUAUAGUCCAGCUCUGACCACGUGCCCUUUGCUCUGACCCCGUGGACUGUAUGCUGGGGUAUUUUUGAAGUUGGAGUGACAUUGGCCUCACACCCCUGCUGGCCAAGAUGUGGAGGCCUCCCCCACCUUCUCCAGGAGUGUCCGUGCAGACAGAGUUGUGGGGUCUGGGAUUUGGGAAACUAGACUUGUUCCCACCAGGAACCUGAAGAGAUCUGGGAGACUUGGGCAGCUGGGUGUGAGUUUGAGGCCAGCUCCCAGUGACAUGGUUCGGACUUGGGAAGAACCCUGAGCAGCAGGCUAAGGAGGGCUCUGGGGUUGGGGUGCUUGAUGCUUAGGUCAGAGUUGCAAUGGCCACCUAAGAUGGCCAGAGAAAAGCUGACUGUGACUGUCGCUGACUGCAGAGGCGAGUCUGGGGAGCAUGCCACAAGUGGAUGAGUUUUCUAGAGAACCCUUACUGUGGGGAAGAGGAAUGCAGGUGACAAGCCACAGAAGAUUGACAGGGGGAGCAAGCUACCAGCCAGGGCUGCUAAUAGAUGCCCUGGGGUCUGGGCCUUUCCUCCAGGCCAUGACAGGGACACCUGUAAAGUGCAAGGCCGCCCUGCCCAGUGUCAGGAAGCUGGUCUAGCCAGACCCAACUUUGCCAUGUCCAGCAAGGCACAUGCUGCCCCAGGCUGGGUACCAGGGGAAGGAAGGGCGAGGCGGAGGGGUGGCGCAGGCGUCUGGCUUUAAUAGACUGCUCUGCGCAAAGCCACUUACUCCUUUGUUUUACGGGCAGUUUUAAUGUACAGAUGGGUUAGUUUUAAAGGGAUUCGAAAUCAUGGUACAGGGAGAGCGUGGCACUGUGCCCAGCUUGCAGUGCCCCCAACCUGGGUGGUGAGUGACCACAGCUGGCCAAGAGCAAAGUCGGAGUGAUGCCCGUCUUCUCUCACUUAGCUCAGGGUGGCGGGCAGGCCAGGGGAAAGUGGGUGCCUCUGCGUUGGGUAGGAUGGGCUCGGUGUUAGGAUGAGGACCCUUGCUCUGCCCACCCACCAUCCACACAGGUGGGCGGAGCCUUCCCACGACAGCUUACAGCCAGGGCACUGUUCAGCUGACCAGCCAACCUGCUGCCACUCCCAGCCGCCUGCCCUUCCUCCCUUGGCUCCUGGCGCCAUGAUGCGCGCCUCCCGUCUGCACCCACGCACACCCUAUUGGUGCUCGGCCGCCGUGGGCGCAAGUCAGGUGAGCGGCAGACAGAGUGGCAGACCCAGCUCACCUCCUUCCCGGCGGGACUGGUGCCAGGGCUGUGCUCUUCCCGGAAGGCUUCCAAGCUCCCCCGCACGGCAUCCUGUUGAGCCUGUUUUUGGGGUGCGGGGGCAGGCCUUUUUGGGGGGAGAGUGUCUGCCCCAUGCUGCCCUGGCGCCAGCUCUUCUUGGAGGCCCAUGGUGGUGCCUGAGGGCGGCUCUGGGCUGGGGCAGGAGAUGGGGGUGUCUGAGCCGGGAGUCAAGGGAGAUGCGGCCAUCUUCUGCCAUGCUGGGGCCCCACUGUGGACAGCUGCAGAGCCCUGGGCGGGUCUGCUUUGGUGCAUGUUGCCUAGUGGCCCCUCUGUCCAGGGUUCUCCAUGAUGACCGGCAAGACCCAGAGCCUCUCUCUGUGCCCUCAGCUGGGCCCAGCACCCAGGUCAAGGCUCAGGGAACCUCAUGACUUUUUGGCCUUGCCCGCUCUGGCUCUCCAGUUUUCAGUGUUCUUAGAAUCUUGAGGACUUCUAGGGAGGUGAGAGGAAGGUAGAAGAGGCCUUUUUCUGAGCAUCCGGGACUUUCGAGAAAGAGAUCUGCCUCCCAAGGUUGAGGACCCCAGGGUCCCGAGGUCUCCCCUCCUGCUGGCCCCUGUGUGGAAAGGAGGGCUGCCUUGGAGAACUUUUGACUGCCCUUGGCCUUGGGUUUCCAGGAUGCUCUUGUACUGGUAUGAGUAUCUGGAAAUGACUUUUCUUUUCCAGUGUCCCCCCAGCCUUUGGGAAUGGGGUGCCCAUCAACACCACUCCCCUCCCCACUGUUGCUCAGGCACAGGUGAGAAAGGAAGACCCUGCAGAGCCACUCAGGGAACUAGUGGCUGUGACCUGCGCACUUCAGUGGCAGGCACUUGGGGCAGGACGAGGCACCGGUGUCUGCCCAGCCUCAGCAGUGCCUGGAAGUCUCCAGGAAUUUAGAGAUUCCCUGUGUCUUCUGAAGGAGACGAUGCUGUGCUGUGCUGUGCUGUGCCUCAGUUUCCCUAGGUGGCCUCUCAACAGCCACGAUGAUGACCUUUAGGAAAGAGAGGCAAAGGGUAGUGACUGAGAUGACCCAAAGAGGCCACCUGGGCCUGCUCCUCUUCCCUGUCAUGGGCCUGCCUCUGCUUUCGAGCUGGUGAGAUCAGGGGCAAAGAGCGAUUGGCCUCCACCAAGGCCUGAAGGUUUGCUGGGCUGAGGCCACUACAUGAGGCCCCCUCCAGCCUGCUAGGUCCCAUACAGACCAGAGCCUGCCAGGUCUCAGUUGGUGGGCCAGCGCCUAAGCAGUAAAAUACGGACUAGGAAGGAAAAGAAGGUCAGAGGCAGACGCCGUGGGCCCGGAGCCAGGCAGACCCUCCACUUCACCAAGCCCAACGCUGGGUCUGGUCGCAAGGGGGACGAGCUGGCAGGUGGCCAGUUGCCCUGUUUCUCCUUGAUGCCUGCGUGGAGGGAGUCCUGGUUUCGAGCUCCCUUCGAGCCGGGAAUGGAGGAGAGCCUAUGAAAAUGAUGAUAUGUGACAAUCAGUCACAGCAAUUAGUGUUUUGGUUAACAGGCCUUUUUUGUUUUCUCUCACCCAGACAGAAUGUCACAAAUAAAUCCUCUCCUGCAUUUGCAUAUUAAUUGGAUCGGAGACGUCAAGCAUCUUUCAUUAAAGAAAAUGAUCUGCAUAUUUGGAGACAUAAAAUAGUUAUUUUGAUGGGUUUUUUUCCCUAAGAUCAGGGGGUGGGGGAGGUAGGUGAUGGGAGCGGCAGGAUGGAGGUAGAGUGAAGGCAGAGCCAGCCCUCUGUCUGGAGUUAACCCUCUGCAGACUGGGACCGAGGGGUGAGGCUGGGCAGAAGGAUAAUUAGUCCAUAAAUAAACCAAAGAGCCAAGGGUCCCAGGCCCAGCUUGACGGCUAUGCAGAAGGGACCCUCAGCAGAGUUUGAUGCAAGGAGGUGGGUGGGCUGUGGGCCCUCAACCUUGCCCUUGAACUCCUCCUCUGAGCGCCGUCCUGCCCUGGAGUACUUCCCUGGAGCAGUGGACAGGAGGCAGAGGGCGUGGCCAGGUGCCCACCUUGUACCUUGGAGUCCCCGGCUUGUCCUGUCCAGCUCCAUGUCCCCUUCACCUUGGCCCCUGAGUCAGCUCGUUCCCCCAGCCCCUGCUCUUCCUUUCUGGUAGUGCACGCAGCUGUGCCCACUUUCUCCCCACUCUCUGACCUUGGGCUUCCUGUGCCCUUCUCGUUCUCUGCCAAUCAUCCUCCCUCUCCUCUCCCCAGAUGGAAAGUUUUCUGGGGGCAGCAGAAGUGAAGCCUGGAGUCAUUAUCACAUGUACUCGAAAUAACCCAGAAAGCUGCAGGGCCCAUAUUAGGGCAUGAGUCCCCGUGGAAAGCUGAGCGAAUGUACAGUUUUUGAUAGGCAAAUGGGACUGCCCAAGUCAUCCCUGUUCACCCUCCUGCCUACACUCUAGGCCCUUGUCAGCUGUGUUAGCCAGUGUUCUGGGUGGGCGGCAGGGAUGGCUGAUGGCUGAUCUUGGAGACAUUUCUGAGCCCUCCCAGACAACAUCUAACUCGCUUUCCAGUCUGCCAUCCCCAGCCCCAAAGCCAUGCUCUCUGGCACCUUCUCCUGGUUAGGAAGUGUUUAGGUGACGAUGAUGAUGACAAUGAUGACUGCCACUACUUUUUGCACAUGGAAAAUGUGUAGACACUUUGCUAAGUGCUUUGCACUUGUCUCCCGGCAUCCUCGCUACAGCCCUCUGAGAUGGCCAUGGUCAUUGUGCACACCUCAGAGAUAAGGAAACUCAACCUCAGAGAGGUCAGGUAGCAUGCUCAUCCGUGCCCUUCAGAGUUCAGAACUUGCAGCCAGAACUGAGCUCCACAGGGCUCAGCUGGGGGGCCUCUGAUGGAGCAACGGAGAUCUGCAGUGGUCUGGCUCCUUGUUUGAUCCCAGUCCGGUGCAAAGACACUCUGACUGUGGUGCAGAGUGUAAGGCCUGUCUGCACUGCGGCCUCUUCACCCCACUGAGAAGACAAGAACUGCUUUCCCUUGGGGACUGCGAGUGACCUUGGAUGACUUCUGUGGAGCCUUUAACCCCAGAGGUGCCUGUUCCACACUUGGUCCUUGCAUGCAGCUUUGCUUAGAAUUAAGUGCCCGGAUCUUCUAUUCUCCUCUGAUCCUUCUCACUGUGCCGGGCUCCGGGGCUCAGGCCUGGGAUUCAGCAGUACCUGAAGGCGUGGCCAGCUCUCUGGUGGAGCUAUAUACCAGCUCACCUCUGUCCCAUGGCCUGGGUGGGCCUGGGUUUCCCUUGGUAGCCUGGGGUUGAUGCUGCCUCCCCAACACCCAGAUUCUAAAUGUGUGGUGUGUGCAGCCUUAGGUCAAAACCUUGAACUUCAGGAUCCUUUCCUUUGGCUCCCUUCUUCCUCUAGCCAGGGUUCAUGAGCAGGGCGUGGCUCCCAGGUCUAAAGGGAAGGUGUGAAGUGUGGCCAGAAGGUUUUGGAUGCAAACUGAGUCAGUGUGGGUCCUGCCUUGCUGUUUUUAUGACCCGUGUGCCUCGAGCAAGUCAUCUCCCUUCUCUGAGCCUCAGUUUCCUCCUGGCUCCGACGGCUUUGCCCCAGCUCGUUCCUGGACCACCCUCUGACCCUCAGUGACUUUAGCUACAUGUGCUUUUGGCAGGGCAGGAACAGUAGCAGGGAUCUGGUGGCCCUCAAGUUUUGGGUUCUUGGAGAAGGGGCUUGAGGUGGGGUGUUUUAUGGAGUCUGGGGAGUCCUGCGGCAGCUGUAUCUGUUAAAUGCCAAGAAGCCAAGUUGGUUUAAUAUGAUUGUAGCUGCUGCUUUGAUAAAUCAAAAUAAUUAAAAAUAAUAAAUUUGAUUCCUCAACCAACAGGCUGUGUGUGGGCGCAGGGCCUGGGUUGCGGAGCUAGGGAACUGGGAGGGGACACUGGAACACAGGAAGGCCUGCCUUUGUGGGAUCAUAAAUGGGGAGGUGGACAUGAGACUGGCCUAGAGGUCAGCUCUGCAGAUCGAUAGGCGGGGAGCGUCUUUCAUGAGAAGAGUGUUGUCCAGGUUGGGCCAGAACCCUCGUGGGACCUGCCCCUGCCAGUCUCAGUGUCCUCAUCUGUCAAGUGGGGCAGUAGUCCCACCUGCCUCACAGGGCUUUGCUGAGCACGUGGAGGGUGGGUCAGACCCUUGUGAGCCUGUGUCAGGCCUUGUGGCCCCCUCAGCUCAUCUUUGCACUGCUGGGUACUGUCACCGCCUGGGGCUCACUGCAUUGCUACCCACAGCUGCCCGGGACUCUUCCUCAGCUGCCGGCUGUUGUCCCAACACAGGAUUGUUCUGUUUAUGAGGACAUCCCCUGGUGCAGGACAUUUCUAUUGAUAGCUCCCUUCUGGUUCCAGAGUUGGGUCAGGAAGCAGCAUGCCACACCCUGGGACAGUCUCUGGUUCAGGGUGCCGGCAGCUCAGACCACGGUGGGUGGGAGCUGGAAGGGUCAGCCCCCUUCUCCCCUCCCUCCCACCCCAUCCACAUCCUCAGGAGCCCUGUUUGGUGUCUGAGCUGCUGGAAAUCUGAACUGAGUGGAGGGGGAGGGCCUGGGGGGAGGGAGGGACAGGGUGUCUGUCUCUUUAAAUGCACUUUGUGUCAGUGCGAUAAGGAAUUUGAUGGCUUUAUCAGAAAUACCAAAGCUUUAUUUAGCAGGGUGAGGCUCACACCACUCGGCUCCACGCAAUCUGCAGAUAAAUAGCAAAAAAGAAAAGGAGAACGGGCCCAGCGGCUCCCCCAGCUCCCCAACACCCCACCUCGGCAGAGAAGCAAGGACAGGCCAGGGGAAAGGCGGAGGCGCCAAGUUGGGAGUUUGGAGGAUCCCCGAGUCGCUGGCAGGGUGGGGUGCGCGCAGUGGGACCCACAGGGCUUUCUGAAAGUGCUGACAGGCCGGCUUCUGCCCCUGCUCCACUGGAGGCCUUCCUAGAUUUUUCUGUUAUCAGGCACAAACUCUAGGACAGUCCUAAUUCUUCCAGAGAGAGGGCUCGCGGGAGACACGCCUCUGGCCCGUCCCUCUACCUCCAGCCCAGCCAGGUCUCUCCAGGGCAGUCCUCAGGCCCAGCCGUGGGCGAGGAGGAAAGGCUGGAUGACCGGUCAAGGAACCGCCAGGGGGCUGCCCCUCUCUGCAGCUCUGAGAAGGGGGCCCUGGCUCCACACGAUGUGGCGGAGGAAGCUGGAGAGGGCAGGGCUAGGGGCCCAUGGGACUCUGUGCUCAGGGCCGUCUCAGCCCUGGUCACAUGGGGAUGCCAGAGAAGCUGUGGCAUGGCCCUGCCUACCUGUGGCAUUCCAGGACUUUCUGUGCUUUCUGCCAGUUGGGCAGCUCUGAAGGACCCCCCACCCCCAUCCUGGCCAGUCUAGAUUUCCCUCUUUUGGAAGGUCAGCAAACCAGCAAAAUGACAUCUUUAUUCCCUUCUUCCUCCUUGAGCCUCCUCUUUGUACCCUUGUGUUUGUCUUCCUGCCCCUCCUGGGGGCCCCUCCCCAGAGAUCCAGCUUCAUGGUCAACACAGGGCAGCGGUGGCUCAGGCAUGGCAGUUCUGAAGUCCUCCCAACUCUGCCCUCCUCCCUUUGCCCUCCACCCCCAAAAGCUUUUGAUGGGAGCAAAGCAGAAUUAAGCCUGGUCCCCAUCCAGGCCUCUGCGUGCCCUCCGGGGUUCUCCUCUUCUAACCCUGGAGACCCGAGCAGGCUUGGGCAUCUGUGCUCACAGGAGAGCCUCCCGGGUGGUAGCAGGUGGGUGCUGUGGGGCAUGGAGGAUCCUCUACUCCUUCCUCAGCUGGGUGCACAGAGAUGCUUCUCCAGGCCCCACUGGCCAGCCUUUGGGCUCCUCGCCCCUUCCUGCUGGCUCCACAGUCCAGCAGAGCCAAGGCCUGAGUCCUGUGCAGACCCGGUAUACCCCGGCUUCAGGGCUGCUUCUGCCUCUUGGUAGGCAGCAGAGUUGGUUGAGGAGAGGUCUCUGCCCAAAUAGGUGUCUCCAAAAGUGGCAGAAGGACCAAGGCCUUCCAGAGCCCACAAGCUGGUCCCUCAGACAGCAAGGAGGUUGGGCAAGGACAAAGGACACUUCGGGGGUGGUUACGGGGAGUCCAGCCUUGGGCUGGCUGAAGGCCAGGUGAGCAGACUUGGAGAGUAGCUCUGGACUGAGCAUCCUCUCCCUGGAGCAGAGAGGGAGCUGAGCCCAAGCUCCCCAAAGUAAGUUAACGGCAGGGAGCCCGAGAAAGCUGGGCCAGCAGGCUGAGGGCCAGCCAGGUCAGUCUCAUAGGGAUUCCUGGGCUUUGGGGAGUGGAGCAACAGGAUUAGCCUGGCUGCUUGGGGAGGGGAAGCACGGGGCGGAGAAACAGGGGAGCUGGGGGUGGGGGGGUGGGUGCUGGCCAGGGCAGGGCAGAGGCUGGAGGAAGCUGCAGAAAGGCCGAGGCCCAGAGACAGACAGGAGGAAUAAGUGGAAGUGACAGGGUCAGGCCAGACCUUUGUCCUGCAGCCUGAUUAGAGAGUCUGCCCUGGAUUUCUGAAACUUUGGGAUGUUGUCGGACAAACUGGAGCUUAAUUCUGUCAGAGCGCUGGGGAGAUUAGAAUUGACAUCCUGGGAGCACAUUCCUGGCUGGGCAGAAAUCCAGCCCCCGCUGGGAAAAACCUGUGAAAGCAUGGCUGGCCCGUGGUGGCGGCGGGGGUGCCCCUCAGCACCGGUGGCCACUGCGGCCUCGUGGGUUGGAGCCAGGAGCCUUUGGAAGCCUGGGCUGUGUCACUGGAAAUCACAGAGGCUGGGCACGGCCACUUCUGAAUCUAAUUCCUUUUCUGGGUCCUUUCCUAGCCGCCCUGCCUGGGGCAGAGAACUACAGUUGGUUGGACCUCCAUUUCCCCAUCUUUUAAAGGGGCAAGUUCUGCCUUCCAGACAGCUCACCUAACCCAGCCUUCCUUUCCUUUGAACUUGGAGGCCUAACUCUGGGCGGGUGAUGGGGACUCUUCCCCAUGCUCAGCUGUGGCAGAGCCAGAGCCUGCUGGGAGAAGUGAGCCUUCUCUUGCUCAUCUCCCUGGUGUGGGGUGGCAGGCAGUGCCCAUCAGCACCAUGUUCCAGCUGGUGCAGGUGGAAGGCCCCUGACAUUGAACACGGUGGGUCCUUUCCAUCGGCCUCUGGAAGCCCCUUGAGAUGGGCUUGUCCCUCUCUCAAGAACUCCAGGAAACCCCCACCCAGACUAAGCAAGCUGAGGCCAGCAACGCAGGCCACGCCGCAGGGGCCUCAGGCAGGAUGGCCACCCUCAGGACAAGAGAGGGGACUGGAGGACGGGAUUGCAGGCCAAGCACCGGAGCCCCAAACGGGGCUGUUUCCGGAAGAAUUGAGUACCCCUCCCCACUUCCCUCCUGAUUCUAAUGACUUUUAAAUAUUGGUAAAUAUUUUGGCUGGUGCAGGCUCUCGUGGCAGAGAGCUAAGCUAUCUACAGUUCAGGACCUACAAAUUAUUUAUUAAAGAUCUGAGAUGCGGCGCAAUUAUGUGGAAAGGGUCCAAAAAUUAAAUAAAUAAGUAACAAAAUAAAUAAAUAACAGCCCCACUGGCCUCUUGAAGGCUUGGGGAGCUGCACACAUGAUUGUCGGCUUGAUGAAAUCCCCCCGGAUGUAAUGAGCUGAUUUUCUGCUGUUAAUAUUGCAUCUGCUGAUGAAGGAUUCGUUAGGAUAAUGGAACGAAGCUAAAAUAUAAAUGACUCCCUGUCAAGAAGCAGCUUUUGUUUGUUGAUCUCCUGACAGUUCCCGGGCCAAGGCAGGGGUUUCUGUGUGCUCACGCAUUCGGGAGCAGGCAGGAGGGCGGGGUGAGGGCCUCCGGGACCCCUGAGCACCUGGCUCCCGGUUAUCCUGGGCUUUCCCUUUGAGGUGGGACUGCCCGACCUUUGGAAGCCCUGGAGCCCUGGGGGCGGGGAAGUCAUCCGUCAGACCCAUCGGGGCCUGUUGCACUAAGAUGCUGGGCGGCUGCACAAGUUGUCUGGGGAGCCAGGCAGAGGGAUGCACACACACACGAGAAGACACGUUGCCUGUGUGUUGCGGCACUUGAGACCUGCCGUCGCGGGUACCGGCCUGGGGCCAUCGGGAGACACCCAGCCUUUCCUGGUUUCUGUUCCUUCCACCAUCAAAGAGCACAUCUUGCCCAGGCCCAGGAACACCUGGGCAGUGGUUCAGUCAGUCAGUCAGUCAGGGCUGGUGGGAAAGGACCCAUUCAAAGUGAGGGUGUUCACCUUUGCGCCCUGCCUGUCUUAGCUCACCUUUCUGCUGAGCUGCCACAUGGGCCACCCACUGUCCUCUUCCUAACAGCAUUUGUUUUUUCCUUUUUAAAAAAAUUAUAUCAUUUUUUUGGACUGGGGACGUAGCUCAGCUGGAAGAGUGCUUGCUUCACCUUCACAAGGCCCUGGGUUCAAUCCCCAGCACCACAUACAUACAAACAAAAAAAGUGAUUUCUUUUUUAUUGUGAGAAAAUGCACAGGCCAUAACAUUUCCCUGUGUGACUAUUUUAAAGUAUACAAUUCAGUGUCAUUAAAUACAUUUCCUAGAGUUGCAUGUCACUGAUACCUAGUUCCAGAACUCUUUCAUCACCCCCAACAGAAAUGGCACCCAUCACACUCCACUCUCCCCUUGCCCCAGCCCCACAACCACUAACAUGCUCUCUGUCUCCAUGGAUUUUGUCUCUGUUAGGAUAUUUCAUAUGAAUGGAGUCAGUGUGUGGCCUUUCCUGUCGGAUCUUUCACUCAGCUUGUUUUCCAGGUGUGCCUAUGUUGUAGCAUGAGCCAGGACUCUGUUCCUUUUUAUGGCUGUGUGAUACUCCAUGGUGUGGAUAAACCACAUGUUGAUCCAUUUAUCAGUUCAUGGACACUUGGGUUGUAUCCACCUUUUGGCUAUUGCAAAUAGUGUUGCCAUGAAUAUUUGUGUCCGAGUUUUUUCUUGAGUCCCUGUUUUCCCUCCUUGGGGUCUAUAGCUAGGAGUGGAUGUGUUGGAUGUCUCCCAGCUUUUAAAGACAGGGACCCUGGCAGCUGAGAGCAGGUGCUUACCAUACCAGACAUUGUGCUGAGCACUUCUUCAGUGGGGUCCUCCCAGCAGCUGGCAGUAAGUUUCGAGGCAUUGUUCAGAUCAGCUGUCACCAGCUCUGUCUUGGAUCUCUCUUACUUUUUCUUCCCUGUGCCCAGCAUGGCGUGGUGCACACAAUAUGGGCUCAAUAAACACGUGAUGAUCUCACAGAACCCGGCUGGGGGAGAGCUGGGGUCAACUUGGGGAAGGGCUGGGAGCAGUUGCUGUCACUCUGGGCAUCUGUCUGGCCACUGUGCUUGCCGGUCCAGCAGAUAUUCAGCCCUGAGUGGGCUGAGACCGGCCAGAACGCUGCUGAGCCCCUCCCAGCAUAUGGGAAAAUCUUGCUGACUCCUUGGCCAGAACUGCUUCUCAUCUUGACCUUGAAGGCCCUUACAAAGGGAGCAUACCAGGCCACCAACUCAGACCCUUCUUCCUGGGAAGGAGACCAGUACUGUCCAGAGGCACCUCUGUUGAUCGAUAGGCCCCCUGGGGAAAUGGUGGCAGUAUUUUCUCCUCCAGAGGGGUCCCAGGAGGGGCCACUGGAGGGGCCAGAGGGCACCUCUUCUCCUAGAACCUUGAGCAUCUCCCAUCAGCCUCAGAGUCCCUGGCCAUGCAUGAGAAUCAUUUGAGACAGCGUCCAGUAGGACAUAUGAAGGCUUGAGUUGGGAAGGCCCAGGACAGACUGGGAGAGUGAGAGCGCCCAGGGCCAACCUGGCCAGCAAGGUUCCUAGCUGAAGGACAGAGGGGCCAAGCUGGGUGCCUCUCUGCUUUUUUAUUUUAUGACUAUUGUUAAAAAAAAAAAAAAAUUCUUGAAGGGCUAGGGAAGGGGCCCAGUGGUAGACUGGCGAGGUCCUGUGUGCAGUGGCCAAUACCACCAACAAACCUGGAGCCAGGGCUUAAAAGAACACGUUGGCAAACCCCUUUCCUGUUCCUGAAUCCCUAGGUCCUCCUUCUUGACCCUGUGCAGACUUUUCAGGGUUCUGGACAAAUGCCCGUCAAGACUGGGCUCUCUCCAGGUGCUGGACAGACACAGCCACCUGGGCCUCCCUGCCGGGAGGUCUUGGACACCCUGCCCUCUGCGGGGACGGGCAGCUCACUCUGACUGCCGUCCCAUCCAGACCCGGCACCUGCUGGACCACGCAGAGCCCGCGGCCCCUCAUUGUCCUGCUAACCACUGUGUAAAGGUUCUGGGCGUCCUGUGACCUCUCCGUCUUGCCUGGUCACGCUGUGGAUGGCCCACUGACACACAUCCCCGGGCGGGCGGGCACUGCGCGGGCUGGGGAGGGCCUGCCUGGCCCCUGCGUGGCCUUCUCUCCCCAGCCCUCCUCCCCUUCUCUCUUUCUAUCUUUCUUUCUUUCCCCCUCUAUUUCUGCCUCCCUCCCUCUCUUUCUCUCUCUCACUCUCUCUUUUUCCCCUCUUUUAACAUGGUUUUCCUAAAAAGUUUUUUAAUCAAUCAAAUUUGAGGCAGAAAAUAGGUUUUGUCACGCCUGGUCCCGGGAUAGUGUGACUCUCACCCAGACUCCUGACAGCUCCUCAAUGCAGGGAGGGGGCCAAACAGAAUAUUUCUCCGGGAAAGUGCCCGUUUCCAUGACGCUGCCCCUUGUUGUCUGUCUGCCCCCCUCCUCAAGCUGCCACUGACAUGGCCCCAGCCCCUGUGAAAGGGCCAGGCCUGGAGAGGGGGUGUGCGAGGACGGGAGGCCGAUGGGGGCAGGGGAAGGAGCCAGCACUGGGGGGAGCCGGGCAGCCCGACAGCUGUCCUGAGCCUCCAUGGCCCCAGAGGGUUGGGAGCAGGUAGGAGAAUGGGGACAGGGGCCUGGCCUGGGCUGCAUAAUCAGAGGAGCCUCAUACAUACGGAGCUGGGCAGCCGCGGGUGAGGCUCCGAGGCCGAGCCUGGCCAGGCAUUGGCUCCCGUUGACUGCGAGGGAUGAGCCUUCUCCAGGUCCUGGUACGCUGGCCCCUGCCCUGCCCCCCCUUCACUCUCCACCAUCCUUCCUGGACCCUGGACUCCAGCACCUCUGCCCCUCCUGGCCCGGCCCACCCGGGUGCCCCACCGAGCUCCCAGGCCCCUGCUCUUCCCUCUUCCUCCUCCCCAUCUCCGUCUUUCACCCUCUCCUCUCUACUCUUCUCACUCUCUUUUAUAAUUAAUGAUUAGUUUUAAUUGGUUUGCUUAGGCCGCCUGACAGCAAAUUAACAGAAGCCAGCCCAGGGCUGCCAGGCUCGGGUGGGAGACCACUGAGCUUCCGACCGGCCAGGGGAGGCAUGAGGCAGGCUGCCCCACGCUCUCCCCUCCUGGCCCGUGGGCUGGGCGAGCUCCGCAGAGGUCAGGCAGCAGCCAGCAAGAAGAAGGCAACAUACUUCGCGCGGGAGGGCUCUCUGGGCCACCGUCCCCGGCUUUGGUUUCUGUCCUCUUCACUGUCACACACUGGGGUCAGGCAGGAGGGGGGCAGGCUGCUGCCUCUGGUCUGGGGCAGGGUGCGCUUUUGAUUCCACCAUCCUCACCUGGACCAUGGGCCAAUAGGGCUGGUAGCUUGGCACCUCUGGAGCCAAGAUCUUUCCCAUGGACAGGAGGAAGGGGCCACAAGGUUGCUGUCACCAUGAGCUUUGUUAGCUGUCCUCAACCUUCUGGUCCUUGGUUGUCUGACUCGAGUAGUUAGGAUUAAACACUGGGUGGACAGACGGACAGGUGGAUGGAUGGAGGGGUGGGCCGCUGACAGUGUGGGUACGCUGGCAUUCCUUGGGCACUUUCUGCCAUGACCCUUGAGCACGUUCCUUCCCCUUUCUAGCCUAGAAGGGUCUUGCUUAUCCUGAGCCUCCCUGAGAGUAGGCUCCCCACUCUCUGGUUUUCCCAGCUGCUCUACCUCUUCCUGGGCCUGGCAGAAUCCCUCCUGACCACACCCACUUCCUGACUCUGCUAGUCCUUGGGUAUGCCACCUACUCAUAGGGGCCAGAACAGGCAUCAGGCACAGAGAAGGGCAGACAGGAGAAGAUACUUUGGCAAGGAGAGAGAAAUGGUGCUGGGAUGCAGCUCGUGGUAGAGCGCGUGCCUAGCAUGCUCAAGGCCCUGGGUUCCAUUCCAGGCCCUGCCAAAUAAAAGAAAAGAGAAUUGAACAUGUAGUACUGGGGACUCCUCACUGCCCCCUACCCCGCCCCCCGGGGACCUAGAAUCCACCAGUGUCCCAGAUCCACCCAGAGGCAGCCUCCCUGCUGUGAUCCACCAGGCCAACUGCUUGGGGCCAGUGCAUCCUGGUCCUGGAACGUGGCAUCUCUGCCCCUCCCCCCUUCCCCCAGCCCCAACCAACUCCUAGAAAGUUUCCUGCCGAUUGUUCUGUGCGAUCAGAUCUGCAAGUUGCUCUCUAAGCUUCUUGUCACAUUUUGACUUAAUGAAGUGCAACUGCUGAGGGAUUUGGGUUCAGCGCUCCGGUCUCCGCGCUCCCUUGUUGUCAGAAAACAGGGGUGGUUGGGGACGCCAACACAGCGCUGCAAGUCGUUAUCAUUCCGGUCAGUCUGUUUAACACAAAAUUAAACAAAGAACUAAUUAGUGCCUCAUGAAUUAAUAAAUGCACAGUUGCCGGGGAGGAUGGGAGGGGAGAAAAAGGUGGUAGAAGGGAGAUACUGGAGUUGUGGAGUUGGGGGGCUUUGGGGGUCCAAGGGAGGCUGGCCGGGACGCCUUGAGAGAGCACAGGCAGAAGAGCUUGGGAUGGACAGGACAGUGAUGACACCCCAGCCAGGGCCCAGACUGACUGGCCAGGACGUGAGCUCGGCCAGCAGAGCCCACCUGGUGCCUCCUGGUGGAGGCCUGAGGUCUCCGUGCCUGGUCCUGCGGCCUGCUGUGGGGUCCUUCCACUUGGCCCAGCUAGCCUCUCCUCUGUGACUCCUCCCUUUUCCUCGCUGGGCCUCUGCUGGCCUCCUCUGCUCCCCUUUUCUCUCUGCUGCCCCCUAUCUCAUUUGCCUGCCCAGCUCUCUGCAGACCCUCAGCUCUUACCAUCUGCAUCAGAUAGGUGGGUGUUAGAAGCCUGCAGGGCGGCCCUCCACAACCACUGCAUGCCCACCACACCCUUAGUCCUCCCAGAGGCUAUACUGGCAGGGUGGGUACCCCUCUGCCCCAGCCCAGCACAGGCAGCAAACACCAGCAGAGAGCCGAGCCCUCCUUAAGAGGGCAUGUCAGGUACAAUUAGCAUUAUCUGUCUAAAUAUGUCCUGGGAACGGGAGAACGGCUGGUGGGACUGGGUGGCAUUCCGGGAGCCCUGUGCAAGGUCACCUCAUCUCCCACAAUCCCCCCAAUCUGAUUUGGGGAUUACACGGCCUAAGGAAAUUGGUGUUAUUCCUCUUGCAUCAUUGAUAAGCCACAAAUGAGGGAGAGGAAAGAAAAAAUGUAGCUAAGAGCCCACUCUCCCGAGCGGGGUUGAUGCUGAGGCCAGAGCACAGGGCCGGCUCAGCAAGGGCAGGUGGGGCCAGGUGGGUGGGCAGAGGCCUCCUUGGGUUUUCCCUCCGUGCUGGGGGUCUCUCCUGAGUGAAGCUUCUCACACUCCUGCUGUUGGCUGGAGGGCCUGAGCCUGAAGGCCAAGCUGAGUCGUGUGUUGGUUAAAGACCCUCAACAUUGUUGGGCCAUUUCUCUCUCCUUACGUGGACGUAGUUGUGGGGACUUACUGGUGGACCCCAGGUUGGGAGGUGCUAUCCGCAGCCUGUUCCUGAGGAGUUGAGGCCUCUUGGUAUACCUGCCCUGGUCCACCCUUGCCCUUUGGACACCCACUUACUCUAGCAAAAGCUUGGCAUCUGUCACUUUUAUGUUCGGGGUGGGGGGGGCAGUGUAAAGGAGAAUGCUGUGUUCUGUCGUCUCCAGGCGUCCCUUCUCAGCCACUGCAGCUCCACAGGACUGGUAGUCCCCAUAACCGGAGCCCCCCAUAACCAGAGCCCCCCAUGCCUGAUUCCCAUCUCUGCCUCUGUGAACAAGAGUGGGAAUCAUGGUCUGACUUUCCUCCCCUUGGUUAGGGCUGUCCUGAGAUCUGUAUUUCCCUGGUGAUCGGCCCUGCUGUUUUCUGAAGUUUCAGACUUUGGUUGGUAUGUGCUUAAGUGGGUCAAAAUCAGAGUCUACUCAGCAUGUCUAAAUGGCUGACCCCUGCAGCUGGCCUCAGAGCAUCAGCCCCUCAACCCACAAAGUGGCAGGGAACCCUGGGGGUACACAGAGUCUUGGAGGGCCUGCCCUGGGGAGUUGUGGAGUUCCUGACUGAAAAGGCUAAGGGGAACAUGGCAUGGUGUGUAAUCCCAGAGUCUUGGGUAUCUGAGACAGGAGGAUUGCAAGUUCAAGACCAGCCUCAGCAGCUUUGAAAGGUCCUCAGCAACUUUGAGAGACCCUGUCUCCAGAUAGAAAAGGCAGGGGAGAGGGGGAUGGGAAUGUGGCUCAUUGUCAAAGUGCCCCUGGGUUCAGUCCCCAGAACCAAAAAAAAGAAAAAAAGACUAACAGGCUCCUCUCUCUUCCUCCCCAGGAUGAAGUGACACCCCAGCAGCAUCUGAGGCACCUCUAGGACCCAUUAGGAGGUAAGGCGUGCACCUUCUCCAUGAUCCUGUGUCUUCUCUCCUGCUGGUGACCACUCGCAUGCAUGACACAUGUGUCAUCCUGAGUACCCAGGAGAAGUGGGAAAGGUGGGGGGGACAGGAAAUGGGAGCCAUGCUGCCCAUUGGAGCCUGGCAAGAAAAGAUGAGCCCCAGCAGAGCUUCUCUGAUUGGCUCUUUGGCUGGAAAUGGGCGGGGGACUCAUGCAUUGCAGACAGGGGCAAGGACUGUGCUCCAGGCAGCAUGGG
rnacentral:lncRNA from 1 species